rnacentral:lncRNA from 1 species
GCUCUGUUCCUAGGUCCUUCCUCUGCAACCACAUUUGCAUAGGACCGACAUCCUCUGUAAAUGCCCUUACUCGCCUGAAAAUCUUCAAUCAUCUCCUUCGAAACUCUUCCAGCUUGAUCAGAAAAAUCUUACACUGAAGAAAUCGCCUUUCUUAGGGCUUCCCACCCAUUGCCUUUAACACCCUCAGGAACAACAAGGAUUAAUGGUUUCCUUUUUGCAACAAUUUUUGUAAUUUUCAUGAAUCACCCUUUACUAUUGAAACAAAUCUCCAUCAAGUGAGUCAUAGUCUUGCCCCUAAUCUUUCGAAUAAAACCCCUGGAAGCCUCCAACUCCAUAGCUUUCUUCAAAUGCUCCUACAACCAUUCCAAUUCCUCCUUUCCAAAUCCUACUGAGACAACAAACCCUUGACUCCUCUCUGUUAUUGAGAUCCAAGUUCCCCCAUUGGAACCUUCAAACUUUACCUAGAAAGCCUUUUUCUCUACUUCAAAAAACUUCGCCAUUAACACAACCAAGAAUGCUUUUAUUUAUAUGUAUACUUUUUUCUUGCUUAGAUUUGUCAUGUGCAUUGGAGGAGCCUAUGGUUAUUGAUGAUUAAGUGUGAUGUAAGUUAUUUUUAUACACUUAUUCAUGGUUAUUAACUUUAAUUUAUUGUUAUAUUAAAUUUAAUUCAUUGUUAUUAUUUUUAUUACAUUUGUUCCUGGUUUUUAAUUUUACUUUAAUUGAUUAUUAAUCUAAAUUUAAUCCAUUAUUAUUUGAUCUACUUUAUAGUGAUGAAGUAUGGACAUUUUGGACCUUGCUCCUUGGAGUACUUGCUAUGGGAUGAUAUUGGACAAGAUCUUAUUAUGAAGUUUGUAGUUUGUACAUCGUUUGUUGUUAUGAGAGGAAGAUUGGAAUUUGUGUUUUUUUUUUUUUUUUUCUACAAUUAUGUAUGCUAAAUGGAUCAUGGACUAUGUUGCUUAUUGUAUUUUGGCUGCAAACUUUCAAGGAACUUGCAUGUAUUUUGUAUGUGGUUCAGGAUCAAAAGUUCUCUAUACUGCAAACUAGUAAUUUCACCAUUUAAUUCAAGAGGUAGACUCCAUUAAACUUAGUGUGACAGAACCCAUGUGGAUACUGCAUUGUAUGCAUUAAUUCAAUGUCCAUUGUUUAUAUCAAUUUAUUCUUUCUUGUAUUUGCACAGUGAGAUUUUUUUUUUGAGAGGUAUAUUUGUACAAUGAGAUGAACCAUCUGCAUGUGGAUGUUGCAUAAUGUGCAUUAAUUCAUUGUUUAUUGUUUCUGGUUAUCAACUUUCAAUGAAAUAGAAUUUGUUUGUGUUAUAAUGCUGCAUAUUUUUUCUUAUUAACCACGUGAAUUUGCAGGAUGGAUAUGAGUGCAACCACCUAAUAUAAAAUUAAUAUCCUAGUGGCAUUCCAACAAUAGGAGGAGUUGGAAAACAAUUUGAUGGGGGAUGGUUUUAUGUUUUCAACUUGAGAGUUAAUGGAGCUUAAGACAUGGAAGAAAAUAGAGGUGUUAUUAAUUUUUGUUUUAAGUUUGAGAAAAUGGAAGAUAAAAUGAAAAUAUUAUUGUUGGAGAUUUUUAAAAUUUAGUGUUUCUAUUUCUAUAAUUAUGUAUAUUGAAAUUUGAAUGGAUCAUGAAAUUUGGUCUCAAAAUGAAAUAAAAUUUACUUUAAAACUCAAUUGGGACUAAGGCCCAAAUGGAAUUCGUUGUUAGGCCAAAACCGAUUAAGAAAAACCAAACCAAACCGAACUUAAAUGGUUUGGUUUGGUUUGGUUUUUCAAUGAAAUUAUGGUUGGUUCGGUUUUUAACUCCAUGUAAACUGAUUAUGUCGGUUGAUUUUUUGUUUAAAAACCAACUGAAGCAACCUUAUUUACACCCCUAGUUGUAUAUUCUCAUAUGGUUCUAUAUGGAUGUAUGUGUCUUUUUAGUGUUUUUGGAGAAUGUUUAAUCUUCUAUUUCUUUGAUCAGUUUUUGUAAAUCUAGAGAGGAUUCUUCAUCCUUUUCAUGUGUUUUACUCAAUUCUAAUACAUUUUGUUUCUUAACAAAAAAAAAAAAAAAGGGGGGAAAAAGAAGACUUCCAAUCCAAAGUGAAUAUCCAAAACUACAAACAAAAUCCACAAGGGACCCUCUGCAGCAGACUAAGCCAACCUGAACCUAAGAUUGCAGCAAGGGCAAUAAGACUUCUUUGAAUUGGGGAAUACCAGACUCAAUCCCCUCAAAGGUUCACUUAUUCCUCUCUUUCUAGACCCACCAGGCUAUAUAAUGACGAACAGUCCUCCAAACCUUUCUCCCAUUUUCCAUGUUAGGACAACCAUGCCCAUACAGAAGAAGCACCCAAGAAACUUGAAAUAGAUAGAACAUCAAAAACCACAACUCCCAACUCCCAGAUAACUAAACAUUGGAUUUGCAAAUAAUCAGCAGAUUCCUCAGCCCUCUUGCACAAGUGACACCAACUAAUCAUGCUCCAUCCUCUUACCCUUUUUUUAAAGAGUAAUUUUUUUUCUUGUUUUGCUUUUACAUGAAGCCUCAAGAGCAUACCGAUAAUCCAAUGACAAAUUUCUCAUCAAAACACAAUUUACACAAGGGAAGUCACCUCAAGCAAUGCAACAAACAUCCAUAACCUUUUAGAUGAGGAAAUGACCCUCUACUAAGGCAUUAAUACGUGGUAUUAAAACUUCACCAAGAAAAAUCCUAUGACAAAAGCCUUCCAUCUCAAAAUAUUCUUCCUUCCUGAUUGGAAUACAAAUGCUAAUAGCUUCCAAAAUUCCCUUACCACAAGUCACAAAUGUCAGGUUCCAAAGGGCUCUUCAACCCAAGAAAAACCCAAAUACCUAGCAAUGGAAGCCAUUUUGUCCCUUGAAAUGAAAAAAGGCAUUGGAAAUCUUAAGUGUUGUGCCGACUCUACAUAGCACAAAUCAAACCAAGACCUUACUCGCCCACCCAUCAUUCAAAGAAAAAGAAAGAAACAUCAAACUCAUCCCAGCCCUCUCUUAACCACCUCUUCCAACCUAUAUGCCUUAAGACAACCUCCUACAUAACUUGUUCUUUUUAGGAACUCCAGACUAUUUACCCAAAGAAGCUUUAUUUAACAUGCGCACCUUUUUAAACCCCAUUCCCUCCUUGGGAGGGAAACCACUUCAAUCAACCAAACAAAGCUCUAUUUCCCCUUAAUACCACCUCAAAGGAAGUCUUGCUGAAGCUUUUCAGAGAGUAGCCAACCAAAGCUGGCAUAAUGAAUGCAAACAUAAAAUAUACUGAUAGAACCAACAACAUGCUUUGUUAAUCAAGUAAUUCCACCUCCUUCGAGAAGAUACCGAUGCUUCAAGAGACUACUCUUUUCAUUCAAAUCUAUCCGCAACACAAUUCCAAUCCAAGUUAGUCAUAAAAGAAACUCCCAAUGGGCCUCUAGUUCCAACACGAUGGAACUGUUAAUAAAGAUAAGAAAUGAUCUCUACAAUCCAUCGAAUAAAUUAAGUCUUCUCCAAAUUAACCUUCAAACCAUAUGCAGUCUCAAAACAAAAUGUAACAUAGAUGAGAAAUCUAAGUUGUCCCCAUUCUGUGUCAUAGAACAGAAGAGAAUCAUUGGAAAAGGAGAUAUGAGAAAUGUUACACUCCUCCCACCCCUUAAUCCCACCAAAAAAAAAACCUUUGGAUCAAGCCACCUUCCAAAACCUUCUCAACCAAUCUACUAAAAGCUUCCAUCACAACUUCUGUUGUGAGAUCUCCAAAGUGGUUGUAUCUCCCUCAACAAAAAUACAAUUCCUUCUUGAAGCAAAACCAAUUAAUUUUCUCAUGGAACAAUGUCUAUAGCUCACAGAGACAGAAGGCUAUCGAUUGGAUAACCCUUAGGGUUAUCAUCUUCUUGUUGCUCGAUUUAUUAUCUUACCAUCACUAGUUAACUACAAAUGUUUGCAAUAUAUGAACAGGAGUCCACAACAGCCCAUGGUAUUUUAUUGUGAUAACUAAAAAGCUGUACACCAAGCUGAAAAUCUAAUUGUUCAAGGACAAAGCACAGAGAACUUGAUUGUAAUUUUGAGCGUAUAUAUCUUCAAAGUUCACUUUUUCCACCUACCAACACUUCCUCUCACAACCAAUUGGAGGAUACCUUCACCAACCCACUUGCUAAAGAUGAUUUUCAACGCAUUAUUAGCAAGUUGGGCAUACUUCAACAAGAGAGGACUAUUGGAAAUAAAUUCUUCCUAGUUAGCAAUAAAAGAGCAAGUGAUAACUGAAAUGGUAUAAUUGUUUUAAGAGUUGGAUUUAGAUUUCUUUGGUCUAUCCUCCAAUCAAAGGAUUAAUUGGGAAUACCUUUCAUCAUCAGUCUACAGUCAAGUCACUAUUAAUUCAAAAGAACGCAAUCUGACAGCAAGUUGAUUUUAUUUAAACAUUACAAUUCAUCAGGAUCAAAGAGUAGUAGCAUUUCUGAGCAAACUGAAGCGAGCUAAUACUUUUUCUUUUAACACAACAACCAAAAUGUACUUUAACCUUCAGUUUCCUACAUUUUUCUCAACAAUCAAGCAUAAUUCAAAGAGAAUCGAACCACAACAAAACAGCAAUUGAGUUCCAACGGCAAUCAACCACAAAACCCAAACUGAAACGUAAAAAUUCACAGGACAUAAGAAGAGUAGCUGUUCCGAAUCACACCUGAAGAAAAUCAACAUCCUUGAGUGGAUUAGGAGAAGCGUUGGAUGGAUCGGUGCGAUCCGGCUGAUCGGAGGCUUCGGAGGCGGAGUCCAAGGAUGACUUAGAGGGAGAAUGUUCCAUGGAUCGAGAGGACUCAACCUUCUCCACCGUUUCAGAUGCCACCUCCAUAACUAAGAAAGAUCUAGGGUUUCUGAGUCCAAAAUUGGUGGACUGUUAGAGAGAAAACGGUGGACUCGUAUAGAGAGAGUAGUUGGGGGGUUCUACGAGGCUAAUAACAGACAAGAAGCGCGCUGCGUGUCGACCUGUAGCGAUUGGAAUGUUGGAUUCUGAAUUCAGUUGCACUGGAUUAUACUUCUGGUAGUUUCCUGUUGACGUGGCAGAAUCAUGAAGCGUAAGGAGAAUAAUAAGCUGCGUGUAAGUGCAGCAUAAGAUAAGUUGAGAUGUCAAUUUCACCUUUUAUUUAUAAAGGUACAAAAGGACAAUUUUACAUGUUUUUAAUUAAAUUAAAAUAAGUGAUAAGAAUGCAAGAUAAUAAAAAACUUACAACAUAAAGAAAGAAAAAGAAAAUUGUAAAAUCUAUUUUAUAACAUAUCCAAACCCGAUUUCACUCUCCUCAAGCUCCAAUCAACUGAGGUUCUACACUCCAAAAGCUUCAAUCAAACCCUAAUUUAAAUUAUACUUUCAAAUUAUAUUUGGUUGAUAGAAUAAAAUAAGAUAUGUAUAUCAUAAUAUUUCAUAACUCAAAUAAGAAGUAUAUCGUUAUAUUAUAUUUAUAUUUAAUUUAUAAAAUAAAAAAAAAUUGAACUUAUAUUAUUUUUCAAUAUUGGGAUAUUUGUUUAACAAAAAUUAUGUUGUAUUCCAAUAUUUGCAAUUAAAAUAUUUAAAAUUUAUAAAUAAUUUUUUUAUAUUAUGUUAUUCAAAAAUUUAAAAAAUAAAACAUAUUACAUUUAUAAAACUAAGAAAGUGUCACGUGGGUGGUGCACGUGAGUAAUAAUAAUAAUUCUUUAAAUAUAUUUGUUUUACUUUUUGUUUUCAAAUUUAUUUGAGCGGACCAACCAUAACAUAAAAGGCAGAAAAUCAAUGGAAAGAAAAUACCACAUUCCAAUCUACCAAUUGUUGAAGUACAUAAAAUUUUAUGGGACUUUGGGUGCUAGAUAUUUAAAUUUAAUAUCUUAAUUAGUAUGUGUUGAUAUUUAAAAUAUUUAAAUGUGUACUAAAAUUGCCUUAUAUUAAUUAAUAAAGAAAAAAUUUACAAUGAAAAUCAACACUAUAAAAUUAAAAAUGUUUGAAAUACAAAACGGUAUUCUAAACUUUUUUUUUUUUUUUUUUUUGUAUUCCUUAAAACUCCUAUGGAAAACAAUAUUUGUUCUCACACUUCUUUAAGUCCGACCUUUCCGAGCCAUAGGCCUUUCUCUCAUGAGUAAUGACUCAUGUGUCUUACACUAUGUAGAUUUGAAUGUAUUGAUAAUGCAAUAGUUCGCUUUGUAUGCAUCAAAAUGCCAUUCCUCUUCCAAUUCAAGUUCACAAACUACGUCAAAAAGAUUCUUCGUUUCUCUAACUUUAAUCUCUUCUUUCAUAGCAAACUUUAUAUAAUCUCAAUGAUCAGGUAGAGACUACAUGAGGCCUUCAAUUGAUCCCUUUUAGUAAGAGAAGUAUUGGAUGUCCUAAGGUCUAACCUCAUAUUGUUCAUGUUACCUAUGUGUAGUGUCAUGGUAUGUUUUGGAUCAUCUUAUAUGUUUUAUUCAUUUUUCUUGUAGGUUAAAUAUUCGUAUUUUGUAGUCAUCUACAAUAAAUAAAUAAAUAAAUAAAAACAAAUUAAAAUAAAAAAAUAUAACAUUUUAUUUUAUUUUAAUAAUAAAUGAAAAAUAACAAACAUUAAGACAUGAAAGAGGGAGUCAUAGCCUCCACCAUCCCUUCUUCUCCACUGGUUAUGUGCCAAGAUCAAGAAAGAGUCAUUUAAUAGAUCUUAGAUAUAUGAGACUUCCAAAGGAUUCAAUCUCCAUCUACAUAAAAAGGAAUAGAUUUAGGAGCGUCCAAAUCCAAGGUAAUGUUUUCAUUUACACAUUAUAAAUCCUAUUAUUGUUUUAAAAUGCAAAUUUUUUUUUACUAUGCAUAGAAUUUAGAAAGCCUAAGAAAUUUUUCAUACUUCUAACCUGAUCCAGGUAUAGGGAACAGAGAGAUUCGAGUUUCCCUACAAGACAUUCAUACUUAAUGUGUCUCUGAUGCUUACACUUUAAACAUACGAGUUCCUUUUUUUCCUUGUCUUUACUUGAUGAUUCUUUCUCGUCUGACAUUUCUUUCUUUAAUGAGGAAUCUUUCUUUGGAUAUGAUUUCAUCUCUUUAAUCAUUUGAAACUUGAUAAACCUUUUUUAACUUCCUUACAAUGAGUAUGAGGUCUUUGUCUUCUUCACUAGCCUCUUCCUCAUUUUUUUUUCAAUUGUUAAGGCUUCAAAAUUUAUGUUAUUCUUCUUCUUAUCUUCCACUUUUUUAUGACACUUCGUUACAAUUCCAUGUGUCAUCAAGAAGUCAAUCAACUUCUUAAUAAGAAGUUUGGUAAGGUCCUUUGCCUCUUGAAUUUGCAUGACUUUGACUUGUCAUUGCUUGGGAAUGAACCUUUAUAUCUUGAUCACUUUCUUUGGUUCUAUGUAUACUUUUUCCCAAGGCUUGGAGUCAAUUGGUGAUAUUAGUGAACCUAGUGAACAUCUCAACAAUAAUUUCAUUAUUUUUCAUCAAAUAUAACUCAUAGUUAUGCACAAGAACAUUAAUCUUGGAUUACUUGACUUGAUUAGUUCCUUCAUCAAUUAGUCUUUAAGUCUCCAAAUAUCUUUGGUCGACUCACAUUGACAUACUUUAUUAUAUUCAUUACUAUCAAUUGCACGAUGGAAGUAAUAGAUGGGUCUUGCAUUUAAUUGAACUUUCUUCUUAUUAAGAUCAUCUCAUUCUUCACUAGAUUUUUUAAUAGCUACUCUAUUCCCAAUUUUAGUUAGAAUAUAAGGACCAUUCUGAAUGACAUCCCGGAGAUCAUAAUCAAUGGAUUUUAAAAACCAUUUCAUUUUUGUUUCCAAAUAAAAAUAUCAGGUCCUGCAAAGAAUAAAGGUCUAUUAAUUGAAAACUCUUUUAUAUGAAAUGAGUUUGAUGAAUUAGUCACAUCUUCUUACAUAGUUAAGUCUCAAUAAAGAGGUCUAACUUUGAUACUAAAUGUGAAAGAUGACUAAAUCAACCUAGGUAUUCACAUGAGAAGCAGUGUGAAUUAGGUGUUAAUCAAUUUUGCAAGUUUUUAAAAUUAAAUUAAAGCAAGUGAUAAGAACACAAGAUAAUAAGAAACUAAAAGCAAAUGAAGAUAAGUGAAUGAAGGAAAGGAGAACUAAAAGCUCUAUUUUAUAGUGGUUCAACCCAAACCCCACUGUACAUCCACUCUCAUCAAGCUCUAUUUGAGUGAGGGUUCUACUAGUUCCAAAGGCUUCAACCAAGCCUUUCUAAUUCACUUGGAUUCCAAGGUUCCACUAAAUCUUUACAAAAACUCUUCAAGUGAAAAUCCUCACUUGAACAACACUCUUAAAGGUUUUUAAAAAAAGUAAAGAUUGAACAAUUAAUCCUAGUAAAACAAAUAUAACUCACAAAUACAAACAAACUAAGAUUGAUUUAAUGGUGCACAAAAUAAUAAACAAGUGAAAAUAUAGAUGCACUUGAGAGCUUUCAAUAAGAUUUUGGAAGGUUAGCAAUUGUAUACUCAAGAUUAUAUGAUUAAAUGCUCUUAAAAACUUAAAUUUAUAGUUUGGCAUCUCAGGAACCCAAAAUCCACAACUUGGUUCAACUGCUUGAGCAACUUAUUUGACUAAUUGGCUAAUCGUGGGCAUUAAUUGUCAUAACAAGUGAUCUUUGAGCUCCAAAAGCUCAACUGAUCCUCUAUCGGUCGAGGUUUCAAUCUCGACUAGUUAAAAAUACCUCCAAGACCUUCAUGUUCACAAAAGAGCAUCUUGAUUUGUGGAACUUUACUAGUUCAUUUAGUUACCUUGAGCCUUAGUCGAUUGGAUUGACAUUGCACAAUUAAGACCAGAUAAAGGCUGAUAACUCAUGAGAAAACUUUCAACAUAUUUCAUAAACCCUUUAAAAUAUUUCUUAAAGAAUUUAAGCUCAAAUUUUUAAAUAAAUAAAUAAAUAAAAACUAUGAAAUCAUCCAAUUUAAUGAAAAUAAAUUUAAUUUAUAAUGCAUAAAGGGUGAUUUAAAAAUGUUAAGCGUAUGAAUAACUUGAAUUGACUCUAGUGUACCAAAAAAAAAAACCUAUCUUACAACACUUCCUAAUUCUUCAACAAGACAAGUGUUCAUUAGACAAGGUCAUCCAUUUAAUUUGUAGUUGAACCAUUAAUAGCAUUAAUAUAAUUUUAUUAUCAUCAAAACUUGACUAGGGGGAAUCUUGAACUAAUUGAAUAAAGCCAAAUACAAACAAGGGAACAAGUACCAAAAUGAGAACAAAAUUCACAAAGGAAAACCCUUCACUUUAUUUAUGGAAAAUUCUAAGAUACCCAAUACAACCCCACUAAGGUUUUGUAUUCUAUUGUUCAUAUUAUUCAUACAUAUUUUAGUUAUAUAUAUAUAUAUAUAUAUCUUGGUCAUAUUUUUCUUCUUUUUAUUAUCUUUAUUCUAAGAAAAAUAUUGUUCAUUUUUUUUUUAAUUCAAAAAGAUAUAUUCAUUUGGUUUCUUUUGGAAUAUGUAUUUAUACUAUAAAAACCGAAAUGUGAGGUUUUUUUGUAACUUUGCUUUCCCAUUUUAUUCUUUUUUUUUUUUAAUUAUUCACCAAACUAUCAUUCAUGCUUUAUUGGUGAGUUGGAUUGUUGUUGUUGCAGUAGUUGUCCGACCUUAAUAUGUAGUUUGAAUAGUUGUACAAGCCCUCUCAAUCUUCAAAGGGAGAAGUGACAACGAUCGGUGGUCCUUUGAAGUAAUGUAAGUCAAAUUCUUUUAUAUUUUACCUUCAAAUCGUUAAAUGUAGGAAUCUUUUUUUUCUUUUCUUUUCUGAUCUGAACCCAUUGUUUGUUUGUCGAGAAAAUGGAGCAGAAGAAAGGAAAGAAAGGAAGGGAAAUGGAAAGAAGAUUGUGUUUCACUCUUGUUUUCACAUCUUUUGUGUUUUUGUGUUCUUCUGGUUUGGGAGAAAAAAAAAUCAACUUCACAUCUUCCAAGCUAAGUAGAUGAAUUAGGCUCGUUGAAUUACCGGGGCUAGCAAUUGUGGUUGGGGUUUAAGUGAAUUUUCCAUAAAUGGGUUUGAUUGGUUGAGAUCUACAGUUUAAAGAGGUUCAACUUUUAAGUUCUCCGAUUUUCUUAAUCCGUUAUAUAGGAUUUUUUGAUAUCCUAGAUGCAUGUCUAGAAUGGAUUAUUUUCCCAGUUGACUAUAGUCGUAGUAACAAUAAGGUUUUGGUAUAUUUUAUAGAUGGUUUUGACUUUUUAACAUUUGAACUUUGGAGGGAUUUGUUUUCCCUUAGUGGAUUUUGACCGAUUCAGAAGUCUAACAAGCAAUUCUGAGUACUAUAUCAUUACUAUAACACCCCAAAUUAAUUCUAGGGGUAAAAUAGUAUAUUAUAAAUAAACUAAUUAAUUAAUUAAACUCAUUAAGGGUAAAUUGGUCUUUUUGCAAUUAAUAGUCCUGGGUAUAAAUUAGAUUUUGUUCUUGUAUUUUCUAUUCAAAAAACCCUAUUAGCAAAAAACUAAAGAAUUGGAGAACGUAUGGCUGAAAGUUUGGAGGUUUAGAGUUUAGAUUUUUUUUAAGUAAGAUUCUAACCCUAAAUUAAUAUAUCAAAUUCAUUGGUUAGUUUUGAACACAUUAGAUAAUCUUUAGAAAAUUUCAAUUUAGAUUAGGUUCAGUUUAUUUAAAAAAAUUUAGAUCAAAAUAUUGAAAUUAUGAAUACAGGUUGUUUUAUUAAUGAAAAUAGGAAAAUUCGAAAUUCUUUUUAGAUGAAUAGAUCAUAGCAAUGGAAUUAAAAUAAAUAAAUGAAUAUAUCAUUAUGUGUGGCUUGGGGGAUUGAAUAAUAAUAAUAAGAAGAAGAAUUACAUGAUUUUAUUGUGUUAGGUGAUUUAUGGAAGUGUAAAAUAAUAAUAAUAAUAAUAAGAAUAAUAAUAGUAAUAGGUUUUGUAGUUUUUGUGUGUACAAUGAUGAUUAGGAAAUAUAAGGUUUAUGUGUUUUGGAAGUGUAGAGAAAGUGACAAUUAGAGUGUGGACCCCGCAUUUCAGGUCGAUGCAUUCCCACUCGAUGGCAAAACUCGUUUUUUUUCAUUUAUUUAGUGAAAUUUUGAUUUUUAGAAAAAAACUUAGAGUCGCCACUUAUUUUUGUUUUAUUUUUUUAAAGGGAGAACAAAAUAAGAAAGAAAAAUCAUAAGUAUGACUCCUUAUUUGGAAAAACAGGUUUGUGAAAAACCGAGUUUGAGUUCGAGAGUCAGGUUACUCAUUGGGAAGGUACGGUAAAGACCGUAUCACCCUUCUAAGCCCCUAAAAAUGGGUCUCUACCAAAUAAGGUGAAGCAAGCAUGGCAAUUGAUAAGGAAAUCAAUGGAUACCAAUAAAAUGAUCGAAUAAUAAAAGAAAUCGAGCAUGGGGAUGAAUAAAUAGAUGAAGUAGAAGUAGGAGCGGACCUUAGCAGAAAGUAAUAGUGCGCUAUCAUGGAAACAAGGUUAGCUCAAAUAUAAAAUUAUCACAUGCAUAUCAAAUAUCAGGAUAAAAAUCAAGCAAUAUUCAUUAAGCAUGGCAGUGGAUAAUCAGAAGAGAAAACUCAUAUGUAGGGCCCCUACCAAAGCCCAAUUUAUCUUGCAUGAAUUGGUCUCACAAAUUUCAUUAUUUCAAAAUUAUGAAAAAAUCAUUAUUGCUUAUGUAAAAUCAAGAGAAACAGAAGAUUAUUUGAAAACCAGAGUGGAAUUAAAAUUGUUCAAAAGAAAAUUGGAUUUUUGAAAGUUAUUUGAAAAUUGAAGUCUCGAAAAUUAUUUAAAAAUUGGAGUCUUGAGAAUUAAAUUUAGGAAUUGGAAUUUCGAAAAUUAAAUUUAAAAGAAAUUGAAAAUUUUAAAAUUAUUUGAGAAUUAGAGUUUUGAAAAUUAAAUUAAGGAAUUGAAACUUUGGAAAUUAAAUUUGAAAGAAAUUAGCAAAUUAUUUGAGAAUUGGAGUUUUGAAAAUUAGAUUUAAGAAUUGGAAUUUUGGAAAUUAAAUUUGAAAAAAAUUAGAAUUAUGAAAAUUAUUUGAGAAUUGGAGCUAUGAAAAUUGGAAUCUUGUAAAUUAUUUGAAGAUGGAAUUUUUAAAAAUAAAUAAAUAAAUGUGAAAAUUGGAAUUUUGAAAAUUGGAAAUUAAAUUCGGAAAUUGGAAUUUCAGAAAUUAAGAAUUAAAUUUGAAAAUCGGAGUUUUGAAUAAUUAUUUAAAGAUGGAAUUUUAAAAAUAAAUAAAUAAAAUAAUAAUAAUAACGAAAGUAAUAAUGAUUAAAUAAAUAAGUAUGGAAAUUGGAAUUUUGGAAAUUGGAAAUUAAAUUAAAUUUGAAAAUCGAAGUUUAGAAGAUUCAUAUGGAAUUUUUAAAAAUAAAUAAAUAAAAUAAUAAUAAUGAAAAUAAUGAUGAUUAAAUAAAUAAAUGUGAAAAUUGGAAUUUCGGAAAUUAGAAAUUAAAUUUGAAAAUCGAAAUUUUGAAGAUUCAUUUGAAGAUGGAAUUUUUAAAAAUAAAUAAAUAAAUAAAAUAAUAACGAAAAUAAUGAUGAUUAAAUAAAUAAAUGUGAAAAUUGGGGUUUUGGAAAUUGGAAAUUAAAUUCGAAAAUUGGAAAAUUGGAAUUUCAGAAAUUGAUAAUUAAAUUUGGAAAUCACAAUUUUGAAGAAUUACUUGAUGAUGAUGAUGAUAAUAAUAAUAAUAAAUAAAUAAAUAUAUAUAUAUAUAUAAAUAAAUAAAUGUGAAAAUUAGAAUUUUGGAAAUUAGAAUUUCAUAAAUUGAUAAUUAAAUUUGGAAAUCAGAAUUUUGAAUAAUUAUUUGAUGAUGAUGAUGAUGAUGAUAAUAAUAAUAAUAAUAAUAAUAAUAAUAAAUAAAUAAAUGUGAAAAUUGGAAUUUUGGAAAUUGAAAAUUAAGUUCGAAAAUUGGAAAAUUAGAAUUUCAAAAAAUGAGAAUUAAAUUUGGAAAUCGAAAUUUUGAAGAAUUAUUUAAAAAUUGAAUUUUUUUUAAAAACAAAUAAAUAAAACAAUAAUAAUAACAAAAAUAAUAAUGAUUAAAUAAAUAAAUAUGAAAAUUGGAAUUGUGGAAAUUAAUUUUGAAAGAAAUUGGAAUUUUGGAAAUUAAUUGAGAAUUGAAGUUUUGAAAAUUAAAUUUAAGAAUUAUAAUUUUGGAAGAUUAAAGUUUUUAAAAUUAAACUUAAAAAUUGAGGUUUUGAAAAUUUAAAUUUAAAAAAUGAAAUUUUGGGAAUUUAUUUGAAAAUGGGAUCCUUAAAAAAAAUGAAUUUGGAAAUUGUAAUUUUUGAAAAAAUAAUUUGAAGAUUGAAGUGACUAAAAAUCCAGAAUUUUUGAAAGUUUAUUUAAAAAAAAAAAUUGGUGAAAAUGUGUGAGCAUAAAGGCUUAAAAAAGGUGUAUGGGCAUAUGUGCCCCAUGGAUGGCCCAUCAAAAGUCCUCCAUUGACCUUAUUGCCAUAAAAUGAUUCCUAAGCAAGAAAAACCAUUAAUGGCUCUGGAACCUUCAUUUCACACAUAUUGCCCCUAUUUUCAACAUACACAUGAGGAAUAUCAAUAACAAAAGGUCCAGAUGCGCACAAACUAGUUUAUCUGCUACAGUGUAGAGCCUUGAUCUGGAGCUUAUGGAAACAUCAGGAAACAGCCCUUUCUAGUCCCAUCUGGCCACCCAAAGUAGCCCAGACAUCAGUCCUCUCUCGCUGCCCCAACACCUCAUCCUUGGGGUGGCAAAAAAAAAAGGGGGAAUAAUAAUAAUAAUAAUAAACCUCCUAUCCAAGAGGGUCUACAUAGAGGCAAUGAAAGCAAUGGAAUAAAAAAUAAAAAAAAAUGAUGAAACCUUAUUUCUUUUUAUAGGUUUUGAUAUGUGUCGAAGACAAGUGAAUAAUGGGUUAAUUGGUUAUUAAAUUUGAUAACAGAUAAAAUAAUAAUAUUUAGUUUUAAGUUAAUAAAUAAUAUAUUAGUAACAAUGGUUGUUUCUUUUAUGUUAUGUUAGGUGAAGAGUAGAUUUCCCAUAAUUAAUUUUUUUUUCCAAGGUUUUUGAGAACUUCCUUUGAGGUAAGAGAAAUUAAUAUAGACUUUACAAAAGAAAAUAAUUUUUUUAUAUAUGCUGUUUGAAAUGUGUAAAUGUUAUUUUUGCUUUUAUACACAAAUCAAAUAUAUUUUUGCAUGAAAAAUAUAUUAUGACAUUUCUUUUGUUUAUAAUAAAACAUAUGAAGAUAUUAUGUUUUCGUAAGUUUGAAUAAAUAAAAUAAAGAAUUUGACUUUGGUUUGUUUGGUUCUUAUCAAUGAGAUAUAAUAGUUGACUUUUCGACCUUUAUUAAUGAGAUAUAUUAGUUGACCUUUACAUUUUCAUGAUAAGGAAUGUAAUUGAUUUAGACCUCAACCUUUAGGGGUUUGGUUAGAGGUUACUAGUAUUAGUAAUAUUUAAUUCCGUUCACCUUAAAAGGAACAAUUGAGGCUAGCUACCCAUUUGUAAAGCCCUACUUAACUAGGCAUUAUUUGUUAUUUGAUACCUAGAGUGAAAAUAAUUGAAAUGUAUUUGAUUUAGGGAAAAAUGCUCAUACACCCCUUAAACUUUUAACUACCGGUCAAAAGACCCCCUUAACUUUUUUAUUGGCCAAUUUACUCCUUAAACUAUUCAUAACUAACAAAUUAAUACUUCAAUUAAUCACACGUUAAAACACUAACGGAAUAAACACAUGCCACUCACGUGGCUUUUAAAUACAAACUGAAAAACACCUAAACAUCCAAAACCCAACGGAAGAUAAGAGAACCAGUCCAGGUCCGGCAAAGAAAGAGAGAGAGAGACUGCACGCCGUUCAUAGCCACUACCAAGCUUCUCUCCGCCGUCUCGCCGCCCUUGUCCCGGCGGCUCCUUGGUGGUUCCGCCGUACUGUUCAAUCUGGGUAUGUCUUUUUUUUUUUUUUUUUCUUCUUACGUCUUGCUAUUUAAAUUUUCUAAGAACUUUUUUUUUUUUUUUUAAUCUCCAUUUGCGAAUUUUUAUUGUAGAAAUUCUUGUUUUGGUUUAAUUUCUGGGUUGGGUCUCUAUGAAAUUCUUGGUUUUUUACUUUCUCCAUGUGCCUUUCACCAACUAUUGCAUUUGAGUAUGCCAUAGAACUGUUUGAUUAAAUGCCUGAGAGAGAUAUGGCUACUGCUAAGGGGGUUUGGUUGCUUGGUUAUCCAAUUUUCCAAAUAUGCUGGCCUUCCAAGUUUCCCUUGCAACCCAUUUGCAACAAAAACAUAUCAAACACGAAUUAUUAUUUCUUCCCAUUUGCACUUCAAUUAUUAUUUCUUAAUUUUCUCCUUCUUCAUGUAGAAAUCAACCCUAAAUAUUUCCCUUAUUUGUUUCAGCAAAUCAGAUAAUGUAAUUUACAAGCUCAAAGAGAUGGGAAAGAUUGGGGAGAAAGAUAUAUUGCUGAUCUGCGAUUACUUCAGUAAGCUUGAUCGCAACAACUUUGGGAAGAUAACACUACCAGAUCUUUAGGAACCUUAUGACUGCAAGAAUUAUGAAAUCUGUUUCUAUUCUUUAGAUGGAAGAAAUGUAUAGUUACAUUUUUUUUCUUCUUCCAUUGAUACUUGUAAAGGUUUCAAGUCAUAUAGGAGCAAUGAAAAAUAGAAGCCAAUGGGAUAUGUCCCCCUUCUGUUAUAGGUUCUCUUACAGCCAUUAAAUUGAGAGGCUGCUAUGGAGGGUUUGAGUUGUGUGAUGUAGAUUUGACACUGUAAUAAUUCAAGUAGUCAACAAGGAAAGUAAACAAUCUUGGGAUGAUCUUACUUCUUCUCUUUAUUUUGAUUCAAGUUGUAUGAGUGAUUUGGUUGAUGCGUACUUCUUCUCUUUAUGCAAUAACCACCAAAAAUGAAUGUGUCCCAAUCUGCCAUGAUUUGAACUUUAUGCAAUAACUCUAAGAAAAUAAAUCAAUAAUUACACUUUUCCAGCAAUAUUGAAAAACAAAAGUAUACUGGCUCCAUCAGUAUUCUUAAAAGGAUCUCAAUAUGCCAUGAAUUGAAAUAUCAAAUAAGUGUUCACAAAUGGUAUAUUGUUUGCCAAAAAAAUAACACUCAAUGAAUCAAUAAUUACACUUUCCAAGCAAUAUUGAAAAACAAAAGUAUACUGGCUCCAUCAAUAUUUUUAGAAGGCUGUGUAUCACUAAACAAAUUAUUGAACUAAAAAAUUAUUUAUCUUCUUACUGCCACUAAACCUUAGCCUUUCCCUUAUCCUUCUUGCUUCCACUAGUGUUGUCCUUUGUACAACUUUGACUUGACUGUUGAGUACCUAUAUUUGAUUGCUGAGUACCCUAUAAAAAGCCAAAAAAGUUGAAAAAGUUUAACAAAGUAGUACUUGAAAUUUGGAUGAAAAGUUCAACAAAGUAGUACUUGAAAUUUACCAAUAAUUUUUUACUCCCUUUAGCUCCAGAUGUAGAUGAUUGUUCUAAUUGCCCUUUCUUUUUCUUUUUAUAAGCCUUCUUGUUGGGGUUAUCAGGAGCUUUACAAGUUCUUUGAUUAUGGCCCCACUGGAAACAAUUCCCAUAUUUCAUGGCAGUUCCUUUCUUGCUCACCCUAAAUGCAUUAAUAGGUUCUCCUGCCUCCCUCUUUCUUACCUUCUUAUGCUUGCCUACUUUCUUUGUAAAUUUUGGGGGCUUGAUUAGGUCAUUGGGUGUUUUUGGCCAUUGUUCAUGGCUUGGAAGUGGGCUUAUCAUCCAUUGGUAACAACUUAGGAAUGUCUCCUUAGUGUAAGCAAUGUCUACAUAAGUCUCAAGUUGCUCUCCAUGCUCAAUUAUUAUAGCAGCAGCAUGAAAACAUGGGAUUCCACUCAAUCCCCAUCUCCCACAACCACAAGUCCUCUCAUUCAAGUCCACCACAUAUCUUCCACCAUAAAUAUACUCCACCUCAUAUUUGGACUCUCCAUUCCAACGAGAAAUGCAAUGUCCAACCUCGCUUUUUAUCCUCUCAAGCUUCUUAUAGAUUCUUGGACAAACCCUCCCUUCAUGCCUUCUCAUAUGAUCUCUUUUGGUUUGCAACCUUUGCAUCAACAUCACUCUUAUGAUCUCCAUCAUUGUCAACACUGGUUUAUCCCUAACCUCCAAAAUCCAAGCAUUGAAAGACUCUGCUAUAUUGUUUACUAGAGUGUCACUCUUGCUUCUUGGAUUAAAAGCAUGUCUGCUCCAUAUUCUCACAUCUAACUUCACAAGCCACUCAUAUGCCUUCACAUCUAGCUUCUUCAACUCAUCCAUGUGGAAGUCAAAAGAAUUCUUUGUUGUUGCCCUAGCAGCACUCCACAUUGCAUCUUUGAGUACCUUCCCAGGAAAAUCCUUCUUGAAAUUUGCAUGUAAAUGCCUAACACAAAAUCUGUGCUCUGCAUUAGGCAUCAAAUCUUUAAAGGUCUCUACUAAUCCUUGCCAUAAAAAAAACGCAAAUAUACAUUAGUUAUUCAUUUUCAGGUUAUAGAUCAUGAUAUUUUUAAAAAAUAAAUAAAUAAUUCACAUGCACAUUAAUUGUUUCUUGCCUUCUGUCGGUCUGAGAUAAAGACCCAUCCAUUCUCAUCCACAUGUCCAAUGUCAUCCAACAAGCAUUGUAGAAACCAGGUCCAAGAGCUUUUAUUCUCAAUUUCAACGAUAUCAAAAGCGAUUGGGGAGAUAUUAUCAUUCACAUCCUUUCCAACAGCAACCAGCAACUGUCCACCUGUUGUCCCCUUCAAAUGACAACCAUCUAUCCCAAUAAGUGGCCUACAACCUGCUAAAAAUCCCCUUUUGCAAGCAUCAAGACAAAUAUACAUUCUCUCAAACACAUCAUUCGUAGUUUGUAUCUUCACUGUGCUACCCACAUUCCACUUCCUAAUAGCAGCUGCAUAGUCCCAAAGUCUCUCAUACUACUUCUCCUCAGCACCAUGUAUCAUCUUGAAUGCCAUUCUCUUAGCCUUAUAACAUUGGUCCAAAGUCACAUCAACUUCAUGGUCCCUAAACACUGCACCUUUCAAUGCAUUUGCUGUCCAAGUAUGAUCAUCUCUAAAGAAUGGCAAAUAUUUAUUGGCUAGCCACCUUGAAGAAAUCUUACUAUUCUUAUGAUCCUUGCCACACGUAUGAAUGCUUUUAAAACUUUUGAUUUGAAAGGCAUCUCCCAUUUGUGUUUGGGAUGCAUGUAUCUUCCAACCACAUUUUUUUUUACAUACAGCUGUCACUCUCCACUUAUCAUUGUGCUUAUACUCAAAAUCAUGUUUUUCUUUAAUACACCACUCCUUUAGUGCCUCCUUGAAGAUGACAUGUGAUGCAAAUUUUUGAUCCUUCACUAGCUGUACAUUCUCCAUGCCAAUGCGCUGGUUAAACUCAGGGAACCUAGGCCUUGAAUUCCCUUCAUCAUCAUAUGACCCUUCUGCACUCCUUAACUCAUCACUAUCCCCAUGAUCUGAAUCUCCUUCACCAUUCCAAACUCCCUCAAGCUGAUUGCCUCCAAUUACUCUAUUGAUUCCAUCAUCCUCCAUACCAAAAUCUUCAAUUAUAUCAUCAUCAGAUUCAGAAAAAUCACUCAAAUUGUAAUCUUCGUCAUCCUCGUCAUCCUCCACAUCAAUUGGAACAUUAACAAUUUCAUAUUGGCCAUCAGCCUCAAUAAAAUCAUAUUGGGAUUGAGGGGCUUGUACAUUUGGCAUAGAAGGUGAAUUUCCAGGGAGUGACAGUGGACUUUCAUCCAUGGCUACAAUACAAAAUUAACAAGAACAUUAAUAGAAGAGCUGGAGAAAACAUAAUUAAAAAAAAAAAACAAUAUAGAGAAUAGUGAGAAAAAAAAUAUAACAAUUUGCUCAUGCACAUGUGCAUGAUUGCUGCUAGUUCAAUUCACAUAAUUCAAAAUAUUACAACAUGCUAGCUUAGUCAGUAGACCAUAUGGCUGGAAUCAUUACACCGAGACCCAGUAUCUUUAACACUAACCAAAAGCCAUAUCUUUAACAGUAAACUAUAUAUUACAUAUUAAUAUUACUUAGCUGCACCCAGCAUCUUUAGGGGAAAAAAAAAAAAAAAGAUGCACCUAGCAACAGUAGAAAAAUGUAAAAAUUAAUAAUAUUCUUUUGAAUGGAUCCAUAUUCCAAAGUAUUUAGAAACCUUAAAUCAAUUGAGUUACAAAGACAUUCGGUGAUCAAAUUCCCUCUAUCCCAACUAAUGAAUUAUCAUAAAAAAUAAACUUAUUUGGAUCAAACUAGGUAAAAUCUUUAGUGACUUAAUGCAAAUUUUGAAACUAUGUUUAUGAUUUUUCAAUAUCAACUGCUUCGUCAUUGCAAAUGUUGCAUAAGAUGGUUGUUAAGACAUUAAGACCGUAAGGCUUACUUACAAAGUGACCUUGCCUGAACAUAUGGAAAAACUACAUUAUCUUCUCAUAAUAAAAAAGAAAAGUGCUACACUAAUUCUAUAGUGUAAUUAGACAUGGCAAGUUUGGACCAAACUGGAACACACUAAAAAUACCAAGGGAUUCAUAAACAGGAUUUUGGAUGUUCAUGAUCAAUCCUUAUGUAGCUCUGCAUUAUUUCUUGGAUGGAUACAAGGCAUAUUUGCAAGUGACAAAAUUAAUGAAAUUUCUCUAAUUGAAGAUUUAGUUAUUGGCUUCUGGAUCAUUACAGAACCAAUUAUUGUGUUUGAUAUUUUUUUGUAGCAAAUGGGUUGCAAGGGAAACUUGGAAGGCCAGCAUAUUUGGAAAAUUGGAUAACCAAGCAACCAAACCCCCUUAGCAGUAGUCAUAUCUCUCUCAUGCAUUUAAUCAAACAGCUCUAUGGCAUCCUCAAAUGCAACAGUUGGUGAAAGGCACAUGGAGAUUAAAAAAAAAUAAAAGUUCUUAGAAUAUUUAAAUAGCAAGACGUAAGAAGAAGAAAAAAAAAAAGACAUACCCAGAUUGAACAGUGCGGCGGAACCACCAAGGCACCGUCGGGACAAAGGCGGCGAGACGGCGGAGAGAAGCUUGGCAGUGGCUAUGAAAGGCGUGCAGUCUCUCUCUCUCUCUCUCUCUCUCUCUGCCGGACCUGGACUGGUUCUCUUCUCUUCCGUUGGGUUUUGGAUGUUUGGGUUUUUUUUAGUUUGUAUUUAAAAGCCACGUGAGUGGCAUGUGUUUAUUCCGUUAGUAUUUUAACGUGUGACUAAUUGAAGUAUUAAUUUGGCAGUUGUGAAUAGUUUAAGGAGUAAAUUGGUCAAUAAAAAAGUUAAGGGGGUCUUUUGACCAGUAAUUAAAAGUUUAAGGGGUGUAUGGGCAUUUUUCCCUUUGAUUUGAAAUGGAUAUGAAAUAAUUUUGAUAUAUAUGAAAAUGUUUGGUUGAAUGAUUUAAAUGUAUUAGCAUGUUUGACUCAAAAGUUUUAUAAAAAGAGUAUAUUUUAUAUCUCCUGUUUGUAAGUAUAAUUGAAAAUAUUUUAUUCAUGAAAUUGUAUUAAUAUUCCUUAUUGGAUUUUAAGUUCAUCCCGCUUUGUUGAUAAUUUUUCAGGUACCCUCGAUUCGGACGAGAAUUGACAAUUAGAAGGGUAAAUUAGUGUAGACCCCCUCAACGGCAGCAGGUUUUUCUUUUCUUUAGAUUAUUAUUUUAUUCCAUUUUCUUUUGCUUUUAUUUUUUCUCUCUCUUGUUCAAAACCCGAGAAUGAGCUGGGGGUGGCAUCCAAAACAGGGCGGCCAUAGGACGAGAUGGGCAGGUUUUUUUACGGCGAGAUGGGACGGGAAAGCAAGUAGAGACUUGCCAAGGAAGAUAGAAACAGGGUGAAGCUUGAAGAAAAAGGGAAAAGAGCUGAAAACCAGAAGGAGGCGAGAGAGGUUACGGAGGGUGGGAGACGGAGAAAGAAGUGGGCGGGGAAGGUUUUUUUUUAGAAGGGGCUUUCCAGGUACGAACCCCAUAUUCACCAUUGUCCCUGUUUGUUAUUUUCUCUACUUUGUCUCCGGAUAUUAUUGUUUGUUUCAGUUAUGUAUAUCAGGCCAUAUUGUUAGCUUUCCUUGAUCUCUAGAAUAACCAUGGAUUUGUGAUCAUUAUUUUAUCAUCUUUCCCUCUUGGUUUUGUUGAAGAGUAAGCCGACUCUGUUUUUAGCUUCACUAUGAAAUAUCUCAGCAUUCACUCCCAUAUUUUUGUAUGAACCUAUGGUCUUUCAAUCCGUUAGCAAGCUUGUUGAAUGAAUCAUGAAACGGGCUUUGCACGUUUUUUUAUUUAUUUAUUUUAUUAUUCCCAUUUUUGGUACUCUGUUCUUGCCGUUUCCUCUGUUACUGGAGGUGCAAAUGUCCCUGCAAUGAAUGAUCUUUUGGCACCAUUUGAGAUUGUUUUUGGAAGAUGAGACACCCAAUGGUGAUUUUUCUAUUGACGGUGAGCACGGUCAAUACGCAGUUAGAAUAGAUAUUGUAAGGUUACCCAACCAAGGAAGACGCGAAGGAGACCUAUUUUUAACAGGACAUGAUGUCGCUCCUCUUGAUUGUUAUGCUGGGAAUAACAGAGUCCAAAUGAAGAUCCCAAGGGUAUUAUGUGCUGAUGGCAUUUGUGUUUUUUAUGCUCAGUUUGUUGUUGGCAUUCCCUGCUUGCACGUGAUGCAUGCAUGCAUGGCCAUAUGGAACAUUUCAUCUUCCAUUUUCUCAAGAACCCAUCAUUCAUACCCAUUUCAUAAUUCAUAUUCACCAUAUUCCCAUGAAAACAUCUCACCAUUUUCCCAUCACCUUCAUAUCUAUAUUCCUAUUACUCAUAUUAUAUGUUCCACCGCUUCUCGUUUUAUAUCCCUCAUGCCUCAUGCACCACCUCUCACAACCAUUUCAUGCAUACCCAUUUCCCACUGACCAUUUCCUUCUCACCACCUUUCUCUCACUAGCUCGUUCCAUAUCACUCAUCCCAUGCAUGCACCCAUAGCCAUCAAACCCAUUGUUUCAUACCCAUUUUCCUUCCCAUCACCCUUUCUCUCACUAGCUCGUUCCAUAUCACUCAUCCCAUGCAUGCACCCAUAGCCAUCAAACCCAUUGUUUCCUACCCAUUUUCCUUCCCAUCACCCUUUCUCUCACUAGCUCGUUCCAUAUCACUCAUCCCAUGCAUGCAUCCAUAGCCAUCACCCUUCAUACCCAUGCAAACCAUCCAUUUUCAUACCCGGCUGCCCACCAUACCCAUGCUAUGCUCAUCUCCAUAGGAAUCCCAAAGCCACCCACCUACAUGCAUGGGAAUCGUGCAUGCAUGGCCACCCCCCAUGGUUGCCAUUCAUCAACACAUACCCAUGCUAACCUCCAUACCCGUAUCCUCCAUGCCCUCAUGUAUAUCACCACCCUCCCAUGCAUAGCUAUCCUCCACUUACCCAUUUUUCUUCUUCUUACCACCUUUCUCUCUCUACACCACAUACCCUUCACGCACUGUUUUCUCUCUCUACACCACCACCACUACCAAACCCUCAUUUUCUCACUAACUCACUCACUUUCUACUCCCUACCCGGUUAUCUCUCUACACCACAUACCCAUUUUCCAAAUACCCAUCAACCCACCUUUGCAUGGCCACCUUUCUUGGCCCACUUCCAAAGCCCACUAAACUUAUUUUCUUGCACAAUGGAUUGGAGAAGCCCAAGGCCCGUGAGUGCAUUUUGAAGGCCUUUCUCCAUUUUAGGGUCAUCUCAAAGUGCAUUUUGAAGCCCAGGCCCGUGAGCAUCAUUUUAAAUUUUCUCUCCACCUUGGCCCAUUCCUAAAUGCUCCCAUUUGCUUGGUUAUCACCCUUGGCCCAUUUCCAAAGCCCUCAAAUUUUAAAAGUUGAUUUAUGGAAAUCUAGCACCCAAAUAAUUUUAUCUUACAAAUUUUCAUCUUUAAAUAAUCCUUUAAAAAUUCCGAUUUCUAAUUUCAAAAAUUUCACUAUUUACGUUCAUCUAUUUAAUUAUGGUUUUCAUUAUUAUUAUUAUUAUUAUUAUUCCACUUAUUUAUUUAUUAUUAUUAUUAUCAUUUUACCUAUUUAUUUUUAAAAAAUUCCACAUUCAAAUAAUUUCCAAUAUUUCAAUUUUUUAUAAUUUAACUUUCAUAGUUUCUACUUCCUAAAUAAUUUCCAAAAUUAUGCUCUCUUUCGAAUCUAAUCCCUAAAAUCUCAAUUCUUAAAUUUAAAUUUUCAAAACUCUAAUCCUUAAAUAAUUUAUUAAUUACUUUCAAAUUUAAUUCCCAAAAUUCCAAUUUCUAAAUUUAAUUUUCAAAACUCCAAUUCUCAAACAAUUUACUAAUUUCUUUCAAAUUUAAUUUCCAAAAUUCCUUAAAUUUAAAUUUUCUAAACUCCAAUCCUUAAAUAAUUUACUAAUUGCUUUCAAAUUUAAUUCCCAAAAUUCCAAUUUCUAAAUUUAAUUUUCAAAACUCCAAUUCUCAAGCAAUUUACUAACUUCUUUCAAAUUUAAUUUCCAAAAUUCCAAUUCUUAAAUUCAAUUCCCAAGACUCCAAUUUUCAAAUAAAUUUCAAGAAAAUCUAGUUUUCUUUCCAACAGUCUUAAUUUCAUUAUGGUCUUCAAACAAUCUUCUGCUCCUCUUGUUUUUAAUAAGCAUGAACGAAUUUUUCGUAAUUCCAAACAAUGGAAUUUAUGGGAUUAAUUCAUGUAAAAUAAACAGGUUUUGGUGGGGGUCCCACUUAUGUGACUGAUCGAUUGAUUGACUAAUAGAUCGAUUUGAUUAUGAUACAUGAUUGAUUUUAUUCUGCUCUAUGACAUGCUCGAAACUAAUCCUUAAUUGCGCACUAACCUCACUUCUUGAUAGCGCUUUAUGGAUCACUGCCCAGGUACGCAUCCACAUCCGCUCGGGUCAUUUUCUGUAUGCAUGUUUAGAUGUUUAGAUUCUCACAUGUGCAUGAUCACUCUGAGUAUUCAUUGAUUCCCUCAUCAAUCGCCAUGAUUGCUUCAUUUUAUUAGUAGAGACCCGACUUUAGGGACUUAGAAGGGUGUUACGGUUUUUAUCGUACCUUCCCGAUAAGUAACCUGACCCCCGAACCCGAUCCGGUUUUUCGUAAACCACCUUUUCCAAAAUAAGGAGUCACACUUAGGGUUUUUCUUUCUUAUUUUGUUUACCUUUUUUAAAAAUAAAACAAAAAUAAGUGGCGACUCCAAGUCAUUUUCUUAAUCAAAUAAAAAUCAAUUUUUCAAAAUAAAAAUCGAGUUCGCCAUCGAGUGGGGAACGCAUGAUCCAAAAUACGGGGUCCACAAUUAGUUUGUUAGGACAUUUGUUAAAACACUCUUUAUUUUGGACAUUGUUUAGAUGAUAAAAUUUAUUUCCCAUUUAAAUUAUUUGAAUUUAGAGUUAUUUGGACAAUAACACUUGGGUUGAUGUGUUAGUUUUCUAAAAUUGAUAUCCGGAGAUUUUAGAAUUUAUUAAUUUUACUACUCUGAACAACAAUUUGGUAAUUGGUAAUUUCCAAUUAUAAGAUGAAUGAUUAUGUCAUUUCCACUUUGAGCCUUUAGGCUUGAGGUGUGAAAUGACCGUCAUACCCUUGGAGUGGGUUUUGGGACGUGACUAUUACAAGAUAGGUUUACCAUAGGGUUACAGAGUAAAUUUUUUUUGAUGGAUUUAAAGUUUUGAACCUUGAGGUGUAAAUCUUAAGAAAAGAGUUUUUGAAAUUACGGUGGAAGCCAUUAUGUCCCAGGGCAUACUUGUUUUUCUUUUGUUGUUUAAACAGAGCUGGUUAAGCCUCUGUAUCAGAGCCCAGCUUUCAUACUAUCAUCAGCCUUAUCAUCUAGUGUUUAGAAAAAAUAAAAAUUUUAUAGUCCAAAAAAUAUUUUCUUUUAAAAAUAAAAAAUAAAAAAUAAAAUAAAAUAAAAUAGGAAAUCUAUAAAAAAUAAAAAAAAUUAAUUAAUUUUUUCUAUAAAAAAAUUAUUUCCUGAAUUGUAAUUUUUUAUUUUUAAUAUGAAUACUAAAUGGUAGAUAGGAAAUCUGGGUGGGCCACCAAUUUCCCUGAAGGCUCUCACAAGCCCACAACACUGACUCACAGCCCAGUUAAAAUGAGAAUGCAAGAGUUUGGUGGGCCAAGUUCCAACCCACUCUAUUUAGCCUAGUUGGCCCAAUUGGUUUCAAAACAAGCCUUGUUCCAGUUUGUUAUUUUUAAACACAAAAAAAAAAAAAAUAAUGUUUAUAUAAACUGAAAAAAAGAAAGUAAAUACUUACCUGAAAAAAAAAAUUGGUUUCUGAAAUAAAAAAUUUACGUAUCCUUUGUCUAAGAAUUCCUACAUUUUAUAUAGAAAUUGCUACUAUUUUUUAUUUUUAAAAAUAAAAAAUAGAAAGUAUAUCAGACUGUAUUUUAUAAAUAUGUUUUCAUUUUUAAAAUUAUUUGCUAUAUGCUUGUUUUAAAUUUUUUAAUAAUUCAAAAUUUUCUCGGUUUAUUAGUAAAAUGAAAAUUCCAGGCAUGAGUCACCACAGCUAAAAAUAAAAAAUUUAUCUUAUAUUAUAAGAUACUAGGAAGAACUUGGGCUUUGAGUUGGAGUUGGGUUGGGCUUUUUGGUGAUUUGGACUUUCCGAAGCAGGCCCACAAAGAAACUGGGAACCUAGUGGGGGGCAUCAUUGGUGACAAGUCCACAUCCAGCAUGGAAAAUGGGUAGUGCCACGUUGGAAAAAUGAUGUUGACGUGGUCGCUUAAGUGCUGAGUCAUGUGCAAGUUAUAUGGACACCUUUUUAUGAUGUGUACAAUUCCAUGGGUGGAUCCCAAUGGCUUCCAGUUCAGGGAAAUUAAUGGGCCUUUGGGCCCACCCGACAUGAUAUUUUUGACAUGAGAAAUGUUGAAUGACCUAUAGCAUCAUUUGAAACAUCCAAUUUCAAAAUUAUUAUUAAAAAAAAAAAGGAAGAAAGAAAAAAAAUAAAAAAAUAAAAAGGAAGAAAUGGCCUAAUUGAGGUUUUACCUUGGGUGCUUUUUAAUUUUGGUAAAUUUUGAACUAAUUCAUAUUGGUGUAAAAUUUCAAAAUGAUUUGAAAUUUGAUCAAAUACUUUGGCGGGAAAUCUCUUAAAAGUUCCAUUUUACAAUAAUUUUAGAAAGCGUUUUUUACUUAAAAAAUGUUUUUAAAAUAAAUUAAAAGUUUGUUUGAAAAUGUUUUUAAUAUUUAUAACACUUAAAAAUUUUCAUUUUUAAAGUAUUAAAAAUGUUAGAAACACUUCAUAUAAUCACUGUAAAACGCAUUUUAAAAGCUCACGCUUUUAAUAUUUCUAAUAUUUGAAAAUUUUUAUCUUUCAAGUAUUAAAAAUGUUAGAAACACUUUCUAAAACCACUUCCAAAUACAUUUUAAGAGCCUGUUUUAUAGUGAUUUUAUGAAGUAUUUCUAAUAUUUUUAAUACUUAAAAGGUAAAAAAUUUUAAGGGUUAGAAAUACUAUAAACACUUUUAAGAAUCACUACUAAACAUACUUUUGUUUUUAUGCUUUUUAAAUAACUUAGAAGAAAAUUUUGUCAAAUUUAAUUAUAUUAUAUAUUAUUUCAUUUUGCUAAAAGAUGAAUAAAUUUAUUUAUUUUUAUUAUCUUAAAAUGUUGUUCUAAAAUCACUCCCAAAUACAUUUUAAGAGCCUGUUUUAUAGUGAUUUUAUGAAGUGUUUUUAAUAUUUUUAAUACUUAAAAGGUAAAAAAUUUUAAGGGUUAGAAAUACUAUAAACACUUUCAAGAAUUACUACUAAACAUACUUUUGUUUUUAUGCUUUUUAAAUAACUUAGAAGAAAAUUUUGUCAAAUUUAAUUAUAUUAUAUAUUAUUUCAUUUUGCUAAAAGAUGAAUAAAUUUAUUUAUUUUUAUUAUCUUAAAAUGUUGAACUAUUUAUCAUUUAAAUUUUGGUAGGAAUAUAUAUAAUUGAGUUUUAAAAACUAUUACAAGUGCUAAGUUUAUCCAAUUUCGAUUUGAUCCAUACAACCCAGGUCUAAUUUGAUCAAUUCAAACCUAACUUGAGCUUAAAACAUGAAAUUUGAUUAGACUUAAUUUGAACACUUUGAGUUAGAGGUUGGAUUUGGACACGAGUGUUUCUUAAUUUAGGGUUAGGAUUAUAUAGAUUGAAAAUUUAACCAAACUCAACAAGUUGUAGCCAAAGAAAAUUCAUUCAAUUUAUCAUGCUUUAAGGUAUGCUUCAUAAGUGUGAAUAUACACGAAAAUAAGAUAAGAAUAAAGAUGAAUAACAAUUCUAUAUAAAAAAAAAUGAAUCAAAAUCUUAAUAAAUACAUAAUUUGAUUUUUAUAUUAAUAAUUUUUUAUUCUUAUUCUCAUUCUAAAAAACAAUCCAAACAUAAUAACGAACAAAAAUGAAAAUAAUUUCUCGUUUUUAUUUUUUAUUCCAACGUUCAUGUUUUGGAUUUCUCUCACACGACCCAUUAUUCAUCUUCAUUUCUAUUUCCAUUUCCAUUUUUAUUCGAUAAAAAAAAUAUAAAACAUAACCAGAAGUGGAAAAUUCUCUAAUACUAAGACAUUAUGCUUACUACAAACCCUAUCUUGAAUAAAAAACACACACACAAACAAGAUUUAGCAUUAAAUUCUUGAAGGUAGGCAUUUUUGUUAGCCAAAUAAUCAAUGAGUUGAAAAUACCAAUAAAGAGAACCCAAAAGCAAAACCCAUGAACCCCAUGUCCAUGAUUGAGUGAAGGAUUCACAUGUAAAACAAAACAAUAAGAAUAAGAAAAAGAAAAUAUUUAUUUAUUUAUUUUUUUUUUUUAAAGGCAAAGUAGGCUUGAGAGUAAAUAAGAGAGAAGUGAGAGAAGACACCCCACACUCUUUGGUGGAAAGGAAUGAUGAGGAAGGAGAGCUUUUACCAAUUCCAAUACUCUAAAGCCUCAAUGGUCUUGGUGUUUGCUCCUUUUCAAAAAGGCAAAUGGGAAAGAAUUUUGACAAGGCCCACAAAAGAUUACAAAACACUUCUUUUUUGGAAAUGUGUAUAUGAUUAGUAAAAUAUUGGCAUCAUCAUCAUUUUAAUCACUAAGUUUUUAGCUUUCAUGGGAUUGGAGACUCACAUGACAGCUUGUCCAUUGGUCUGCACUGAAACUUACCCAAUCAUCAUCCACAUCAUCCUCCCAUUUUUCUUUCCUCUUUUCCUUUUUUCUCUCCCCUUUUUUUAAUAUUUUAUUUUAUUUUUCCAUGCAAACAAUGUGGUUUUGAGUCUUAGGGUUCCAUCAAUUCUACUUGAUGGGUUAUGUGGUCCUUGUACAUGGCAUGUCCAAAUAUGGUGGAAGGAGAAAUUUUUUAUUUUUAUAUGACUUUUUUUUCCCCUAUAUUCAUGGAUUUCAUUGAACCCAAAAAUGAUAUAUGUAUAACAAGGUUUUUUUUUUUUUUUUUUUUUUUUUUUAAGUUUUUGAGUAUUAAUAUUUUUUUUAAAAUUUACUCUUAUUUUUUUUAGCUAGGGAAUUUUGUAAGAGGAAGAAACAAAGAUUGAAGUCCAAAAAUGGAUUAACAACAUAUUAAUUUUUUUAGUAUUUUAAUGUUAGUAUUAAAUUAAUAAAACUAUAAAAAUGCCAAAUGAGAAUAAACUGUGGUAUUUGUUUGUUUGUUUUUUUUUUUUACUUAAUAUUAAAUAAAUCUUAAAACUAAAUAUUAUUUAAUAAUAUUCAGUAUUAAGUUGUUUAUUUUUUUAAUAUUUUAUUUCUAUUAAGUACUAAAAAAUAAAAAUAAAAACACACUGAUUAGUUUUAAUAUUUAGAAAAAAUUAAAUAUUUUAGUUUUUUUUACUCAAUCAAAUAAUUUAAAAAAUUAAUAAUAAGUUAAUAAAAAGUAGAUAAUAAAUUAUUUUAAAAUUUGAAAGUAAAUUACUUUCAAUAAAAAAUUAAAAAAUUAUUUUUGUACGUUAUUGUAAACUUAUUUCAUUUAUUUUAAUUCUUAAAUAAUGUAAUUAUUUUUUAUAUUUUUAUAAUAAAAUCAAAUAUUAAAAAAAAUCAUUUUUCUUAACUAUUUAUUUUUUCUAAUACUUCUUGGAAACAAUAAGAAGACAAAUGUUAUCAACAUUAUUAUUUUGAAUUUCUUUUAUAAAUAAUUAAAAUAGAAAAAGAAUUGAAGAAAAAUCAAAAUUUUAUUCCUUAUUGGGAGUCAAAAAUUGUCCAAUAGUAGAUGUCACUACCCAUGAGUAAUAAUUGGGAGAGAACACAAAAGAAAGAAAGAGAGAGAGUGACUAGUGAGAGGUGGGGUGGGUGGGGCCCAGUAGACAUUGUCCGACGCGGCUACAGUGGGGCCGCAGUGGAGUCAGCUCCCGACCAAUCACUCACUGACAUCACACUCCUACCACCCUUUUAACGAUUUUGUCCUCUUGGCUGAUCACCACUGGAUUGACCAUGCACGCGCACGCUCGCUUUUCCACAUGCCCUAAUUUCACCUCCCUUAUUCCGGACAUUUUCUGCUACACUCCUCGGUUUUCUGAGGGCGUUUUGGACAUUUCCUCCGUCUGUUUGCCGGGCUUUUGUUCCUCGUGAAAAUGACGUGUUUAGACUUUGGAGUCUCCACCGUGACGCGCUCUCUUCUCUCUUGCCUAAGAAAUGGAAAAUAAUUAAUAUAAUUAAAUUUAUUGAAUAUUGAAAAUAGAAACUAUUGUUAUUAAUUACAAAUUAAUAUUUGUCACUUUUUAUUCACUUUAUUUUUAAAAAAAUUUAAUUGAUUACUAAACAUUAUUGGUAAAUAGGAGUAUAUGUGAUUUGGGUUUGCUUCUUUCUUUGAAUUAAUGAAUAUUUAUAUUGUAAUGAUCUGGUUUAACAUAUUUUAUAUAUAUAUAUAUAUUUUAUCUAGAUUGGAUCUUAUUACUAUAAAAUUUUAUUAAAUAAAGAUUGAAAUAAUUAUGACAUAUUGGGUAGGAAAAGAAAUUUCCAAAGUUAUAUACUCGAUGAACUUUUCAGAUAAAUACAUCUUAAAAUUGUGAGUUUCCAUUAAGCUCAAAAUUAGUAAUAUCCACAUUCCAAGAAUCAGGUUGAUGUAAAAUGGUAUCAAAAUCAAUUUGAAACCCGAUAAAUAGAAUGUCAAUUUUGACACAACAACAUGACUUAAAAUGAUACCAAUUUUAAUGAUUCAAAUUAAUUAUAACCAUAUUUAUGUUAUAAUCGUGUCAAUUCAUGUAACCCAUUUAAUAAACAGGUCAUCUUUGCAUUUGAUUACUCAAUCAAUUUAUGAUACGUUUUAAUCCAUACAAAUCUAUUGAAUUUUUAUUACAUUGAUUUUUUUUAAUAUAACAUAAUUAUUUAAUUAUAAAUACCAAGUAAAGUUUUAUAUAUUUAUUAAAAAUAUUUUAUAAUUAAAAUAUUAAAUAUAGAUAUAAUUUUAAUUUUAAUUUACUUUCUAUAUUCUAAUAAUAAUAUUAUUAAAAUUAAAUAAUUAAAUUAAUUAAGAUUAAAACAUUAAAACUUAAAAUUUAAAACAACUAAAAAGUAUUUUAAAAUAAUAAAUUUAUAAAUUUUAGAUAGAUUCAAGGAUUGCGAUCAUAUUAAUGGAUUAAAAUCAUGCUAAUAUGCUAAUAUGUUAUUAAUGUCCAACUUAAUCUAUUUAUUAAAUGAGUCAUCUCAUAUCCUUUACGUAAUAAAUGAGUCUCACUUAUGUUGGGUCAUUCUUAUACAAUUAUUAAAUGAGUCGUAAUUAAGUUGAGUUAACCUCAACACAACCAACCCAUUAACGAUAUCUAUAGAAGACGGAGUCCUAAUUUCAUGUAAUUAAUUAUAAUUAAUUUUCCUUUCAAAUGGGUAUGAAUGAUAGUGAGCAUUGAGGCAACAAAGUAAGGUUAUUAUACAACUUCUAGUCAUGGAUGUAAUUAAAUCAUGUGAUAUUUUGUGAUGAAACUUGAUGGAAAAGCAAGUAUAAAGUCAUUGUAGGUUAUUAUUCAACACUAUGUAUGUACGUCAAUAUUUAUGUGAUAUCAUGACAAUAAUGAAAAACUUGUCAAUACAAUCCCCUAAAGUCCAUACCAUAUGAUUUUCCUCUAAUUCAAAGCAAUACAAUAAUUAUUGUAAUGAAGAAACAUUUACAAUACCAACUAUUAUCCUUUCAUUAUGCUAUGUAACCAUUAAUUUAGUGUCAUCCACAUACUAUAUAAAAUUCCCAUUUAAAUUGUAAAUUAUACUCCUUUCCCUUUCCAUUAGUAUUAAAAAUUAUUUAUUAAAACAAUUUGAUCAAAUUUUAGGAAAAUAAUUUAAAUUUAAAUUUAAUAUAUAUUUUUGUUAAUAAAAAUAUAAUAUAGAAAUAUUUUAUCCAUUUAUGAUAAAUAAAUAUGUGAUAUGAAUCGAUAGACAGACACUUUGAUAGAGUAAAACUCGAGAUUAAUUGUGUAUUUAAUUUAUUUAGAAUAUAAUAGAUUUCAUUUUAAAGCUUUUAUUAACAAAAUAGGGUUGGUGGAAAUAAGUCAAAUCUAAAAAGAGUGAUAAAUUUAACUUUUUCUAUAGUAUAUAUUAAAGAAAAAGAAAAAGAGAUACCCCCAACAUUUUGCUAUAAAUUAUAAUAAAAUAUUCAAUUUGUCCCAUUUGCCAAAUUUGACUGCUUUUUGUAAUGCUUUCAAAGCUACUAAGAGUAGUAAAUGGCCCUUUUUAUUUUUAUUUUUAUUAUUUUAUUUAUUUUUUUAAGUGGGAAUAGCCACAUCAUUCCUCAAUUCCUACUACUCUCUUGUCCCAAUGCCACAUAAGACCUACGGUGGUCAAAAGGAAUGGAAUUCAUCCACAAUGGUGGGUGGGCCAUGUUGGCCAAUGUGGUGGGUGGUGGACCCAACCCCUUUACUUUAUUUUUUUGUCUUAGUAGUUAGCAUCAUGGUGCACCCACCUAGCCAUUAUUUUAUUUUUACCCACAAACCAUCUUUUGAUGCAGUUAUUUCUGUUAAUUAAUUAAGAUCCAAAUCUUCAUUACUCAUAAUCUAGUAUUAGGGUUUAAGCAUUCUUGGUCGCCUACAAAGUGUGUAUGAUUUAAUAUUAAUAAUUAAAUCCUUUGAUUUAUUCAAAUAAUUAUACUUUUUAAGUUUUGAAAUCCACCUAUAAAUUCUUGACGGUCCAUAAAUUCAAAUCGAUUGAUUUGUUAAUAAAUUUAAGUGAAUCAUAUAUUUUUUAAAAUAUUUCAUAUAUUGAGAUUGAAUUUCUUCGCUUUUACUUGCCAUUGUAAAAUAUUUAUUGCAAUUUGUGUAUAAAAAUUAUUAUUAUCAUUUCCAUCUAAAAUCGGGGUUACCUUGAAUUUAUGACCAUUACAAACCUAAUUUUAAGAGGUGAUAUGAAUCUUAUUGGAAUUAUGGUACUUGGAGAUUUAAUGGGGGGAAAUAGGAAUUAAAUAUAACAAACUAUUUGAAAAGAAGAAUACAAUAAAGAUGGUGAAGAACGAAACACAGAAAGCUUCACAAUUUUAGAAGAAUCUUUAGUUUUAUUUUUCUCUGAAAUGAGUUGAAGGUAAUAAUCAAAUAAGUUUAGAUGAUGCUUACUUCAAUUGAGGAUUAGUAGACAUUGAAAUGUUUAAUUAGCUUAUAUAGCCUAUUCAACCCCAUGAUUGAGAGGGCCAAGUGAAUUGGAGCUCUAUAAGAUAGCAACUCCGGGAUUGAAGAAAUAAAUAAGAAAAACAACAUAUUAGUGUUAUACAAGAUACCAUACUUGAUAGACUUGAGUGAGUCCAAGUUACAUUCAACGGGAUUUUCGAAGCUAAAGAGGGACAUUAAAUGAAAUGCCCUUAUAACAAUGUUCACCACUUAUAUUGAAACACCAUACAUCUCGUGUUGAAGAAGAAUAUUAAGCAAAAUGACCUUGUAAUGGAGCAAACAACCCUAAAAUAAACUCAAGUGUAUCCAAUAUUGAACCCAAACUCUUCUAGGUAACAACUCAAAAGCUAAAGUAACAGAGUAUGUUCAAUGACCGGCAUGGUUUAUGAAACCCGAUUAUUAACAUGACUAAGGAAAAACAUAAGCUAAUACCCUUUCAAAUGAUGGAAUAUUUGAUCAUUUUUAGCUUGCUCAUCAAACAAGGGUCUUACUAAGUCCCUUUGGGAUGAUGUCAAAGAUUUGAUCCUUACUGAAGGUGCAAGGAGUCCUUAUAAUGCCUACCAUCUUAUUAUAGACUAAUGCAAUCGUAACAUUGUUCUUUUUCUUUUUGGCUUCUUCUUGGACUCCUUUCUUUUUCUACUCAUUGUACACUACCCUUCAUCAAUUCCUUUGUGAAAGAGAUCACUCUUCCCUUUUUAUAUAUCGACUUUGACGUUAAAAGAGUGAAUUUCUCUUCAUUUGAUAAUACCUUAGAAGCUCAAGUCAUAAAUUAAGUGAAAUAAUCUAGUUAUCGUGCUAAAAAUCAUAUAAAUUAUAGGCCUAAUUGGAUCCAACUUCUAAUUACAGAAUGACACACAAACCUUAGUUAAAAUUUUAAAAAUUCUAUUUUCUUGCUUUUACUACCUUAAAAUUUCAAUAAUGAAAAAAUAGAUAAUUUGGAGAUACUUGUUCAUUAACUAACCUAUGGUGUUUGAAGAUUAACAUCAUGUGGGUCUAUAUCUCAUUUACAAACUUGAAAGAAAAUUUUUAUCAAUUCAUUUGAUGAAAUAUAAGAAGAUUACGGAAGAUUGAGUCUCUCAAAUGUGAUAUGACUAAUCAAAGGUUUUGAAAGUAUGUCCUUAGCAUCAAUAAAAACUCAUCCAAAAUUUAACACAUAAUUAUAAGUUGCGAUUCAUUUCAAAAGGAGUCUCUUGUCCUCAUCGUUUAGUUGCUUCACUCAAGGGUUAGAAGUUAACUUUAGUUAACAUAUGAUAUAAAAUGAUUUUACUCAAAAUCUUGAGCUUUUCAUUUUCAAACCCUAAUAUUUCUUAUGAAACCUCUAAUCCUAGCUUGGUCACUAGAGUAAUCACUUUCACUAUUGACAUAUUCUCGUAGGUUGAAAGAAGAACAUCAUUGACCGAGUUUGAAUUUGAUUAUUAUUUAUUUCAAUAAACAUCAGGGUACAUGUGAUUCGUCGGUGGAAGACCAUUUGCAUCUGAUUCUUGUUGCUUAAUUGAUAUUAAUGUUAAAAAAAAUACUAUUUUGACAAAUAUUACAAUACACGUGAUUUGCAUACAGAAUGAACAUUUAAACACGUUUAAACCUCAUAUAUAUUUAUAUUAUUGUCUUAUAAAUUUAUCAUGAAAAUAAAUAAAUAAAAUUAUGAAUAAUAAUAAACAUAAAUGGAACAUUUAUUUGGAUAUGUUACGUAAUAUUUUUUUUUUAAAUAAUAAUAAUUUUAUAUAAAAUAUUAAAUCAAUUAAAAAUACAAUUAAAUUAUUAAUAAACAUAAAUUCAAAAUAAUUAAAUUAUUCGUACAGCCCCACUAGCCGGACGAAUCCAACGCAGAUCCAGUAGAUGAUUAUACUAUGUGGGAAAUUAAAAAUUACGAAAAGAGCGUGGGGAGCACGCCGGAAGAGGGGAGCGUGGUGAUUCUAGUCCUCAUUCUUACACAAUCGCAGGGAGGGAGGGGUGUUUUUUCUCAUGGCCUUUAAAAAGACGUGUAGCACAAAGAAGGAACAGAGGUGGGACCCACAACGGUGGAAAUGGCAGUGGGCCCACUCCACUCUCCCACAGUGAAAGCGCCCCACUUUUCCUGACUUCACCACCCCACCCCUCCCUCUUCCCUCCUCCUCCUCCACCACCACCACCACCACCGCCGCUCUGCCACCACCUCCGCCACCACCACCUUUCUCUCUCUUCCUCCUCUCGCUGUACACAUGGCUCAGCGCAGCUAAAGUUGGACCAGACCAAAAAGAAAAAGCAAAAGCCACAAUUGUUUACGAGCCACUACCAGCACACUAGUACCAAUUUGGCUUCCAAAUUCCGCCGAGAGUGUAACGACACUCCACUCUUCAAGAAAACAAAAUCCCUAGAUCGCCUUCAGUGAACCAAGGUUCGUCUGUACGAACACCUCUUCCCCACCACUGGUUUGUUCAUUGUCGUCCUCUCUUUCUUUUUCUUCUGUUUUUGGUGUUCUGAAUUGAGGGUUUGGGAAUUCAAGGGUUCAGUUUCAGAAUGGGUCGUAAUGGGAAUGGAACAAUGUAAUGGAAUUUAUCUUUUUUUAUUUUUAUUUUUAAAAUUUUGCUUUUUGGAUGCUCUUUUUUUUGGGGGGUUUUAGGGUUUUUUUUUUUUCUUUUUUCCCGGGACCGGUUUUGUGGUGGUGGAGUUGAUUGUGAGUGAAGUUAAGGAUUUUGAGAUUUCUUUGACUGGGUUGCUUUCUUUGUUUGAUCUCUGCCAAAGGAGUUUGUGACUCGGGGAAUUUUAGAGUUAUGGAUGUUCAUGCACUACGCAUGGGUGAGUGAUGAUUGGGGGUUACCGUUUGUUCUCUCUGUUCUUACGAUUGGGUGAAGAUGAAAAUACCAGUUUAAUUCCACAUUUCUGUUUUUAUUGCUGUUUGCUGUAAAUUACUUACUCUCUUUGGCCUACCCAGUUCUCCGUUUGCCCCCCUGGAAAACUAGGGGGACAAAAGAUUUUUUUAAGAGUCUUAUUUUUAUGUUAUUUUGGUGUCUGAGAAAAAUGAUUAGUUCGUGGGCUUAGUUGAGUGGAGAUUUUUGCUUCUAAGUCCUGGGAAAAAAUUUUAAGCUUCAGUAUUUUGAUUUCCUUCUUUCUUACUUCAUUUGCUCUGCAGCCUGAUGGGGUUUAAUGUUGCUUUCUGUUUCAUCUUCUUUUUCAUUUUGUUCAAUUAACCAACCUGCUCUGUACCGGAAUUUUGAAGUUUUUAUUGUAGUGGUUGUAAUUAAGAACAGGUGAAGAAAAGAAUAAAUAUACAGAGUAUUUGAUUCUUUGUUACCAUGUUGUUGGCUUUUGUGUUUUUUAUUUUUCCAUUUUUUAUGGUUGAUCUGUUGCAUUUCACUGAUCAGUAAAAAAAAAAUUGGAAGAUCAAAUCUCUCACAAUGCAACUUGAGUGAGUUAGAAUAGGAAGUUUAAUAUGAUAGCUUUUAUGUCAGUUGAUCAAGAACAAAGGGUAUCUUGAAAGAGAAUAUAGUGGGGGAAGAUAAAUACAAACUGUUCACAGAUAUACUUAUUAGGAUCCGACAAAAAGUGGAUACCCAUUGAACUAAAUCUUGUUUCCAUUUGCAGAUUCGAUUCAGCACAAGUGUUCCAUGUAAUGAUACACAGUAAUCAGACAUGGAAAGAAUUCCAGAGUCAAAGAAAACGCUUCCUGGGCAAUUGCCAAUUGUGGGUCUGGUAGCAAAACAACACAUGGCUUUGCUAAGGCAAGAAGUCGGUCGGCCUGAUGCACGGGAUUCUCAAGAUUCAGACUCUUCUCCUGCACCAAUAAGGACGUGGAAAGGAAAGGAUUCUUUACUUGAGCAAGAGGAGUCGAUGCCUGAUGUUGUUAAGGGCAGUAGUGAUUCAUUUGAGGAAGGUGGCCCUAGCUCUUUCUCUGGGGCUAGUCAUCCCCCAGAACCCGUAGAUACAGAUCCGAUGAGAACAGUGUAUGUACCAAUUGGUCAGAAGAAGUCUGAGGGUGGUUGCUUGAUGAAAAGCUUAUCUAUGAAGGGUCCUUUUUUAGAGGAUCUAUCAAUCCGUGUUUCAGGUAUAAAACCAAGCCCAUCUGUUCUUUCACCUGCAGAAAGCUUGGUUGAAGAACCUAAUGAUUUGGGUGCUUUGUCUUCUCCAUUUUCGAUUCCUCGUGCAUCACAAAAUACUGAAAACUCUCUCCUUCCUCCUGAUUCUGAAGAAAAGGAAUGUGUUUGGGAUGCUUCUUUGCCUCCAAGUGGCAAUGUAAGUCCACACAGUAGCAUUGAUAGCACUGGUGUUGUCACAGCCAUGAGCAUUGUCAAUAGCUGUGCCAGUACAUACAGGAGUGAUGCAAUGACAAGUGAUGGCAUGCUUAGUGUGGAGAGGAACUGUGAGAGUACAAAGGGAAGUGUAAGAGGGGAUUCACUUGAGAGUGCAAAAACUAGCAUUAGCCGUGCAAGCGAUAGCAGUGGCCUUAGUGAUGAUAGUAAUUGGAGUAACAUUACUGGUAGUGCUAAUAAGCCACACAAAGGAAAUGAUCCUAGAUGGAAGGCCAUUCUUGCCAUCCGUGCACGAGAUGGCAUUUUGGGUAUGAGUCAUUUUAGGUUGCUCAGACGGCUUGGGUGUGGUGAUAUUGGCAGUGUGUAUCUCUCGGAGUUGAGUGGUACACGCUGUUACUUUGCAAUGAAAGUAAUGGAUAAGGCAUCUCUUGCAAGCCGAAAAAAAUUGACCAGAGCUCAGACAGAAAGAGAGAUUCUGCAGCUACUAGACCAUCCAUUCCUACCAACUCUUUACACUCAUUUUGAGACAGACAGAUUCUCAUGUUUGGUCAUGGAAUUUUGUCCGGGAGGUGAUCUUCACACUCUAAGGCAACGACAACCUGGGAAACAUUUCUCUGAGUAUGCUGCCCGGUAUGCCUUCUGAUCUAAUUACGUUUUCUUCUGUAAAUUAUCUAGUAACAUUUCCUUUGUUUCAUUAGCAUUUAUUUGUUCUUUAUGUUUUCAUCAAUGACUUUCUUCCUUUCCUAAAUUACAUUUAAUCCUUUUAUGAUUCAUUGUUAUUACUCCUUUUGUUUAUUUGGGAAAAGUUUCAUUUUGUGAAUCACCCUCUGCAGUCUGUGCUCUUUUGAGAAAUUCACAUAUGAUGAUUUUGGUGGUGGGUGUGCACCUUUUUUUUCCAAUUAAAUUCUGUCUUCUUGUUCUCCAUCUUUUCAUGCACCUUUUGCUUGCUUGUAAUUUCGUGUGAUUUUUAAACAUGUGUUUGUUCGAGAUUUUAUUCCAUUCGUACAGUGCAUAAAGUUUAUGAAUCAUUCAAUGAAGUUAAAACGAUACUGGAUUUGAUCGUAUCUUUAUGCUAUCAAGUUUUUGAAAUCAUUAGGAACUUUACUAUUGGCUGGUUAAAAUUCUUUUUAGCAUAACCAGUUUCUAUACUGUACAUACUCAUCUUUGUUGCCUUCUGGCCAUUUUUCCAAAUCCACUGGAAGGUCAUUAAAAAGAAAUCUUUGCAUUAUCUGGGAUUGUCUUUUUUGUAAUUAUUACCUUUAUUUGUUUUUUCCUUACAGUUUUCCAACAUGGGAAUGAAUGAAAAAAAGGGCCACAUGUUGGAGAUUUCUUAUUUUCAUCCAGGCGCCUAGUCCUGAACUUUAAGCAAUAUAUGCAUGUGUGCCAAUACCAGACCGACCAAAUGGCGGCUUGGUAUUUUCAAUAGACUCUGACUCUGCUGCACCAUUAUUUUAUUCUGGUAGCACAUAAUGUAUGCUCUACUGUCGUUGUGCAGAAAGAUUGUACUGUUAAAGUAAUAUCCAUCCAUAUGUCUAUAUAGAUAAAACUGAAAAGUCUAAUUCAAACUAGCCGCAGAACAUGUUGUCAAAUAAUGAGGCUUGGAAAGUAGGCUUAUGCUUGAAUCCAAGUCUCUGAUUGGUGCAAAUGGCUCGUCGUGUUAAUCAACAUCAUGAACAUAUGGUCAAAUAAUGAGGCUUGGAAAGUUAGCUUAUGGGUGAAUCACAUGCCUCCUAUUGGUGUGAAUGACUUAUCCUGUCCUUUUAAUCAAUACCAUUUCUUGAACUUAUUUGUCAUCUGUUCACAUGUAAAGCAAUCUGGAAUUUUGACCGGUAGCUUCCAUUUGAUCAAGAAGUCGACAUGUUAGAAGUUCUACCAUUUAAGCAAAUAUUGCUUCCUCCAUAAUUGUAAUAAAUACUGCUUAGUUUGUGCUCAUGUUAAAGACUGCUUCCUUCAUAGCUCUUGGUGCCCAAAUGUGUGCAAUGGGAUGCCUGUGUGCUUGUGAGGUGGGUUAGGGUCACUUCUCGAACCAUGAUUUGGGCAUUUUGAAUGAGAAAUUGCACUAUUUUGUGAAGUUUGAUUAUCAAACAUGACCAUCUUGCUUUUCUAUCAAAAAGAGAAGAGUUCUUGUCGUGGUAGAAUUCCUCUCUUUUCUGUCCAAAAUAUAAUUAGUCACCACAAAUAUGUCCUUCUAUUUUGAAAAAGUAAUAAUAAUUCUAGCUACUAUAUGUAACUGGGGUUGCAGUCAUAAAUAAUGGAAAAAUCUGCGGUAAAUUAAUUAUUAAUUAUCAAUUAUCCUUUACUUGCAUAGAUACCUAUUUGUGCUUUGAAGGCACAUGCACUCUCUCUUUGUGCUUCAGUAAUUUAUUUUCUUCUUUGGUCUUCUUAAUGCUGUUUGCUGUAACUGUUUAAUUAUCAUUACUGUUUUACCUCCUCAUAUUAUGCUUAUUAAACAAAUUUAUCUCCUUAUGCUGUAUGAUAUUGCUGUUUCUUUCCAAUUAUGCAUAUGAGAGGAAAUAUGGGAUUCAAUAGUGACUCAGAUUUGCCAAUAUAGUCACUGUUUCUUGCUAAUUAAGAUAUAUGAAUUGCCCUUUGAGAACAUCGUUAUAUGGAGCUUGUCUCAUUAGAAGGUCUUAAUUUUUUUUUGUCCCAACAAUUUAUUUUUGUUAUUAAUGCUAUAUUUCAUUAGAAGACCCAUCUAAAGAGUGUGUAUAUUGAGGUAGGAAUAGAAUGUACAAAUUAGAAGACCCAUCUAAAGAGUGUAUGUUGAGGUAGGAAUAGAAUGUACAAUUGCUCAUUAAAGAAAAUUAUAUUGAAAAAUAGCAAAUUGCUCCAAUCUAGAGGGCCAGUGGGUAGGUUGUAUGGUUGUAUGGGUCAUGUGAUGCUAAUUUGUUUGCAUCCAACCAUGGCCUAGCCAUUUACUUAUAGGAUAGGUGGGUUUUGCAUUGGCCAUUGAGUUGGAUUUGUUUUGGUUGUUUAGAUUGAUUACAGAUCGGCUUAGAUAUUUAAUGAAGUGGGUUGAUUUACUUAGGUCUGGGUUUACUUGAGCAUGUUUUAAGGACCCUAUUACACCUAAGCAAAACCAAUGCACAAUGAAUGGUUUUAUUGGAUUUGUGUUCUGAUGGGUUUGGAUGGAAGGAUGGGAUGAGAAUUGCUGCCCCUCUAUUGUGUGGAAACUUCAGAAAGCAAUAAUAGAAGAAUUCUGACAUGUGUUUAAGUGCAUCUACUUCAAACUAUUUGCUGGCUUAAGUAACUUGGCUUGAGUGGCAAUGAGAAUGUCUUAGCCGAAGUUGGAAUUUCAAUUUGUAAAAGACUUUCACUCCACAAUGUUACCAGUGGAAUUUGCCUUAAAAACAAAAUUUUAAUAGAGUUCAUUUUAACAACAGGAGCAUUGUCGUCCUUGAACCAAUUCCACAAGUAUGAAACCUUUUAGUUACUAAAUUAGCUUUGCAAUGCUCAAUGGUAACUUUUUACCUGUUUUUAACCUAGAAGUUCCAAUUUCACCCAUUGACUCUUUUCUUUUACAUUAAUCAACCAACUCCACCAGAGAUUCUGGUCUUCUCUCGACAUUUACUAUGAAGAACCAUAAGGAAAGUCACAGAUGACAAAUAUAGCAAUAUCCAGGAGUAAAAGAAACUUUAUCUUUGGAAAAUGAAAGAGAAAAAAUUGGGAAAAUCCCCAGUGGGCCUCACUAGUGAGCCCACUGUAGUUGUCACAUGAUGCUGCUGAAGUCAAUUUGGCCUCUGUGGAAUUGGGAAAAUCUGAAUUUUCCUUAUUCAAGAGUAUUUUGGUAAAUUGGCAUGUUCAGAAUGUGGCUUUAAUAUGGUAUGGUUUAAUAAUGGAGCUAGUUAUGGUUGAAAUGCCAUGAAAAAAACUGUUAUCUUUGUUUUGGCAUCUCUUUUGUCUGUUUGUUUUAAUAGAAACUUGUAAUCUUGGUCAAGUAUGAAUCCCUACUUAUUAUAUGGUUUUGGUAGAUUACUGAAGUAUUUGCAGGAGUUAAGCAAGAACUGGGCUACCAUUAAAUACUCCAAAAGUGGCCACUUAUAACUGAGGCUGCUUUCCCUUGUUUUGAGGAUUCUGCCGUUUUUUUUGCAACAAUAUUCAACUCUUUUGUCUGAUCAAAAAAAAAUAUUCGACUCUUUUCAUGCUGAAAAACAUGAUUUGGUAAUGAUAGCUCCCUAGAACCAUUCCUUGUAUUUGUUUUCCUUAUUAUGAAACAGAGCCUGAGGUGAAUUUCUAAAGUUGACUAAUGUUUGUCUUUGUCUUCAAGUACCUAUUUUGAGACCAUGCCAUCUUGAGUUAAAUAUCAAAAGCAGUCACAUGGGAAGCACUUCCUGUUUUCACUCCCAAAUCCUUAAACUUCUGCUUUGGAUGUUUGAUCAUAUUCUGUUGUAGCACCAUUUUUUUUUUAAAAGAAGGAUACCAUUUUGUACAAUGCAGUGUUAUCUCAUAUUUGCUAAUAAUAUAGCAGUAUGCAGUAGGAUGUAAUUGGAUUGAAUUGGGUCUUAAAUCUUGCUAUUUAAUGCCUAAUCAUGGUUGAGGAGAUACACUAUUUUCUUUGCUCAAAGAAGAAGGAAUCUCUAAUCUAUCAGGGUGAUGAUACAAUGAGAUCUGCAGGGAUUAUAUAGCUUUUGUUUCCUAUACAUUCUGUUCCUCCUUUGUGUGGUUGAUGCUAUGUUAACUCUAGGAAAAUUUUCUUUUGUAAUGGUCUCUUGAUGCAUAGUCAAAUUGUUAUUGAUAAUGGCAAAAAGAAAAAAGGAAAUGUGGAAAGACAAUAAAUAUUUUUCUGUGUAUGAAUAUCUUAAGGUGGUUUUAAUAGUUUAUGAUUUUACAAUUUUGAACUCAGAAAUAAUAACUGUUGUGAAAGGGGAAUAAAAUUUUUUUUGAUAGAGAAAUGGUAGUAAAAUUCAUAAAUGAGGUAGAAAAGGACGGCAUUUUAUCCCUCCAGUCAAAUGAACAAAGCAAUACCUGUGAUGCCUAUCAUUAUCAUGACAUGUUAAAAAUUUCCCCUAGAAACGUUUUUCUUUUCUCAAAGAGAAAAGAUCUACAUGAUGGAGAACCUCAGCCAGAUCUAAGCACCUGCAAUGCCUUCUUCCUUUAUGUUUCUCUGCUGUGACUCAUCAUCCUUAGUCCCACUUUUUAAAACCUUAGUCAUACUGUUUUCAACUUUUUCAUUUCGUUGUUUUUCAAGCAAAGCAGUAAUGAUCAAUGUUUAUACUAUUGCCUGCAGGUUUUAUGCUGCAGAGGUUCUAUUAGCACUUGAGUAUCUCCACAUGCUUGGAGUUGUCUACCGGGAUUUGAAACCAGAAAAUGUUUUAGUCCGUGAUGAUGGCCACAUAAUGCUCUCAGAUUUUGACCUUUCCCUAAGAUGUGCAGUUUCACCCACCCUUAUUAAAACCUCCUCAUUUGAUUCUGACCCCUCCAAACGGGGAACUGGUGGUGCAUUCUGUGUCCAGCCUGCCUGUAUUGAACCCUCAUCAGUAUGCAUCCAGCCAGCAUGUUUUAUUCCCCGGAUCUUUCCCCAGAAGAAUAGUAAGAAAAAAACUAGAAGACCACGAGCUGAGCCUGGGCUGCCUGCCAGUACAUUGCCUGAGCUUGUGGCAGAGCCUACUGCAGCUCGGUCCAUGUCCUUUGUUGGGACCCAUGAAUACCUUGCUCCUGAAAUCAUCAAGGGAGAAGGGCAUGGCAGUGCAGUUGAUUGGUGGACAUUUGGUAUCUUCUUGCAUGAACUACUGUAUGGUAAAACCCCUUUCAAGGGUUCAGGAAACCGGGCUACCCUUUUCAAUGUGGUGGGGCAACAGCUCAGAUUUCCUGAUGCACCAGCGACUAGUUAUGCAAGUCGGGAUCUAAUCCGGGGAUUACUGGUGAAGGAGCCACAGCACAGACUGGGUGUGAAGAGGGGAGCAACUGAGAUAAAGCAGCACCCCUUCUUUGAAGGCGUGAAUUGGGCUCUGAUACGAUGCAGCACGCCGCCAGAGAUUCCAAGACCAGUGGAAACAGAGCUACCAGGAAAGUUUGGGACAGUUGACACUGUUGGGGUCGGGAUCGGCAGCAGUAGUAAGAGGAUGGUAGGGGCAGACAUGAAGUCUGGGGGUAAAUAUCUCGACUUUGAGUUCUUCUAGUCUUUUGAUUUACAGGAUUGUGCUGUGUUGGAAUUAGUAUCAUCAGUUAAUCCUACAAAGAAAUUCAACUUCAAUUUGAAAAUUUAUACCUUCAAAUUCUAGGGCUCUUCUUCUGGAUUUCACAUUGGGUCUGACAUAAAAAAGGGAAAAAAAAGGGAAUUUAACCUGAGACCCAAUGUCAUAUGUAGAGAACUCAUUAUCAUUUCAUGACUAGAGUUAAUAUUGUCAACUGAAUUUACAGAGUUUUUGUGCCUCAAUCCAUUGUCAUCUGAUGUUGCAAGUUGUGAGUUUUUUAUUGUUAAAAAUUUCAAGGAAAUGUAGAGACAAUGCAAGUCUGAAAAUAUGAUCUCAACUUGCAUUCAACACAUUGUAGGACAUGGCCCCUCAUUCUCACUCACUAUUUUUCUUGAGAAUCAUCUUUGGUAAUGGCAUUCCCACAUUAUUGCAAAGAUGAAUGAAUGAAGAGGGAAUUUUUCCAAGGAAUAGUGGAUAUGACAAGUGAAUAUUUGCCUUGUACUAGUGCUCAUUCUCAAGGUUGAGGUGAAUUGAAGUGUGUAGUCCCUUGUAUGCCUUAAUUCUUCCAUCUCUAUCACCACUAUCACAUAAAACCAUGAGAUUCUUUUCAGGAAGUUGCAUCCAUGUGCAAAAGUAAUACAUUUGCAACUUACAAUUUUAUGUCAUCAUGUUAAUAGUUUGAUGAGUUUGAAUGGUGUUAUUUAUGUCGAUUCAUACACAAUCUAACUUAAUCCAUUUAUUAAACGGGUUGUGUCAUGUUUAUGUGAUAAACGGGUCGUGUUUGUAACUAAUUACGAUUAUUAAAAGAUUAUUAAAUGGGUCAUAUUAAAUUUUCAAUAUUUCUUAUUUUAAGACUAUCACUCAAAGCACCAAUUUAAUGCUCUCACUUGUAUUUGCAUAUGUUCAAAAUUGACUCUUAUAGGGAGAAACCAAACAUAAGUCUUCUAAAUUUUAAGAUGAAAAUAUGCAAUAAUAAUGAACUAUUAGUAUGUUAUUGGACUAGUGUUAAUCAAUUUUUUUCUUCUAAUUUUUGUUAUUAUACUAGGUUAGGCUUGAGCCAAGAUUUAAGCAACUUGAAUUGAAACUUAAUUUAAUAUUUUUAGAAUAUUUAUUAUUAAUAUUAUUCUAUAUAAUAAUAGUUAUUUAUUUGUUUUAUAGAUUUUUUUAUUAUAAAAAAAGCAAAUUAUAAUUAUGUUAUAUGCAAGAAUGAAAAUAUCGGUAAUCAUAGAUAUAUCGGUACUUGGAUUUUAUGGAUAUAUCGAAGAUAUAUCGGUAAAUAUUUUGACACAAAAUAUCGAUAGGCAAAAAAUUCAUCAAAACUUAUGAAAAUGUAAGAAAAAACUCUUAAAAAUGAAAUUAGAAGUAUAAUAGACAUUUUCAAAUUAUUUUGUUGAAAAAAUUAAUAUAUGUAUAAUAUGAUUUGCGAUAUUAAAUUUAAUUAUAUAGUGUUGGUUGAUAAGAAAUGUGAAUUUUGUAAGUGUAGAUUCAUUAUGAAGUUAAAUUAUUAUAAAUAUACUAAUUAUAUGAUUUAAUUAUAUUAUUAUAUUAAGUUAAUUUACUUAUCUCUAUAGAAAAUAUAUUAAUUAAUUGUAAAAAUGUACUGAUUUAAAUUCAAUGUUAUAUUAAUUUAAAAAUGUACUAAGUUAAUUUAUUCUCAAUAUACUAUUAUUACACUUGAAUAUCAAAAUAAAAUUAUUAAUUUAAAACUAAAUUAUUGCAAAUUUACUAAUUAUGUUAUUUAAAUAUAUUUAUGAUUUUUAUUUUAAAAUGUUGGUAAUUUUGAUACAAAAUAUUUUUAUUUAAAAAUAUUAAUAAUUUUAUUUAUGAUUUUAUAUUUGUUUUAUAUUUAAUUAGCAUACAAAAUAAGUUAAAAGAUAAUUUAAAUUAACUUAUUUAUAAUAAUUUAAUUUUUUACCGAUUUUUCAUCAAUAUAUCCAAUAUAUUUUCGAAAUUUCAAUGAUUUUUUCUCAUUUAGGGUCGAUAUUUUGCUUGUAUCAUCGAUAUAUCCGUGAUUACCGAUAUAUCAUCGAUAAUUACCGAUAUUUCCGUCAGACGAUAUAUCUUAUCUAUAUAUCGUAUCCAUCUUCUCCGGUACACGACAUAUCGUCGAUAUAUCCCGAUAUUUUCUUCUUUGGUUAUAUGUCGUUUUAUUUUGUGAAAAGAUAUAUAAAAUUAUUUUUACUCUUUUGUUAUUAUCAAGAUAUGUUGUCUCAAUCACUAAAUUUAGACAUAAAUGUAGAGAUUGGUUGAAUAUAAACUAGCCUUGACCAACUCGAUAUUGAGUCAAACAAGUCAUUCAGUCCAACUAACUUGAAUCUAAAAAGAAAUUUGAUUGAACUAUACUUAAGUUAAAAUUUUCUUAAUUUGGAUUGGACUAUCGAACUUUAACUCUUCAUGUGAAUAUAGAAACACGAAAACCAAAGCACCAACAAAACAUGUCUCCUUCCUUCAUUUGAGUGUCCAUACAUCCUUGAUGACAAAGGCAAAGAAUCUCACUCAAUAAAGAGAGUACCACCAUGAAUAAUAUGGACCCCAUGCCAACCAUAUUUCAAAGUGCCCUAAUCUUUCCAACAUGAGUCAACCUAUUACACAUAUAAUGUUCAAUCUUUCUCAUGCAAGACAUUGUGUCUUUUACUAAAGCCCAUUUUUUGCAGUGAUGUCCUAAUGCUUUUGAUUCUUUUUGUUUUCCCCUUUUACUUUUCUGCUUAUAUACCACAAAUAGUAGCCUAGCAAAUUCAAAGCAAAGUGCUAUUGUAACUCACAUUAUCCUUCAUUCAUUUAUUUUUAUAUGCUUGUUUAAGUAAUAGCAUUGAAAUUCUUUACAAUUAUGCCAAGGAAUUGAUUUGGUACUUACUGAAUUUGAAAUACCAUUAAAAGUAUAUGAUAAAAUUUAAAUCGUUAGAUGAAAAUAUAAAUAUAUGAGAUCAUAUUAUAAUAAAUGAGAUCAAAUACAAAUAAAUAUAAUUGAAGUGCAAAAACGAGACAUAAGUGAAAUAUAAUUCAAUGAAUCAAAUUAUCAGGGGUGACAAAAUUUGAUACGAUUCGCCUAUUCAACACAGACUCAAUACGUUUUUCGUGGAUUUGGGUUGAAUAUAAAUGAGUUUGGGUCAAAUUCAUGUCGACUUACAUGAUCCAUAUAAUAAAUAAGUAAUUUUUUUUUUAUCAACAUACAUAACAUGAGUUUGACCCAAAUUAACCCAUUUGAAAAUGAUAGUAUUAAUUUAAUUAUAUCUUUAAACUAUUUAACCUAUAAUUAACUCAUUUUAAAUUUAUUUUUAAAAUAUUAACUAUAUAGGCAUAUACAAGACUUAACUCAAUUUAAUUAUUAAAUAAAAAAAACCCGAUUAUUAAAUGAGUUAAAUUUAUUACACAUUGUAUUACCUGUUUAAUAAUUAGAUAACAUUUAAAUUUAUGUUUUUGAUACAGUAAUUAUUUGUUUCACCCAUUAACACAAAUUUUAAGCCCUACAAAUUAUACAUAUGAUAUUAUUGGUACUGAUUCUGCUUUUCCACCCAACCCAAAAGAAAUAUCUAAAAUUUGAGGGGUUGAAUUUUGGACCCUCUAUUUUCAGUGACAUAAAAGAAGCAAUAACUGGAACAGGAAAAUUCAAAGUCAAAAAGAGGCAUUUUCAGUUUUUUCCUUCCAUGGAAAACCGUGCAUGAAACUUUCAUUAUCAAGUUUUGAAUUUUUUAUUUUUUAUUUUAAUUUUUGGGUAGCCAAUAUCUUUAUACAUAGCCAAUAUGCUGGUCAUUGAAAGACAAAAAUUUGGUCAAAAGAUGACCAUUUUAGUAGGGGGAUACAUGACUCCUCUAUGGGUUUGAAGCCCAUUUUUUUGCAUUAAUUAAAUAGAGAUUAAGAGUUGAAUAAUGAACUAAGAGCUGUCCUCAAAUGUCCAUUUUCAUUCCCACAUGGCUUCUUAGUAACACACACAAUCACUAAAAUGUACAUUAUAUUACAACUCAUUGACAGGUGGCAAAAAUGACCAAUUCAAUGACAGGUGGCACUUCAUAAAAAAUGGGCCAUGUGGGAAAGUUGAGCAUUUUUUAUUUUUUUUAUUUUGAUGAAUAAUGAGAGGGAGAUCUUGUAAUGAGAACAUCUAAGAUUUCUCAGGAGCACAAAAAAGGCUGUUACAAUUAUUAGAAAUGAAGGCCCACAAGACUGAGCUCUGAUUUUCUUUUCUCAUAAUCCAAGGCUUUGGUCCCCUCCACUGCACUCCACCCCACCCUCCAACAACUCUCCCACUCUUUUAUCAUCUACUCUUCAUAAUUAUCUUAUUCCUUUCUGAAAGCUGAACCCAUAGCCAUAGCUCUGGUACCUUCAAUCCCACCUGUGGUUGAGUACCCUAGUACUUGUUCCUUGUUUGGGUUAACUUUCAUUUUUUUUUUUGGCUUUUAUUAAAAAUCAAAAUUAAAAAAAAAAAGUCAUAAUUUUAAAAAAUAGUAUUAAUAUUAUAAAAAUUUAUUAAACAUAUUUUUUAAUGAAUAAACAAUAAUAUAUUCAUAAAAAAAAGACACAUCAAGGAACACAAAAAAUGUACAAAAGAGGUUAAAAAAAUGUUUCAAAGAGAAACAGGGGAUCAAUAAAAAACAACACCCCUUUAAACAGAGUUCAAUUAAUCUACAAAAUCAACAAUAAAAGACACAUUGGAGACUAAAUACCCAUUGGCCCAAAGGAAAAAAGAUUUACACAUUAAACGGAUGACCCUCAUUUUCAAAAUUCCCAUUGUUUCUUUCUUUCUAAAUUAUUCAAACAAGAUGAAUUGUCAAAAAAAUGACUUUUUGUUUCUUGGAAGUCUAUCCAAACAGGCCUAUAUUUCAUGAAAAUGAAUAAUUUAAGGAUUUUGAAUGGAUCGAAACUGUCUAUAUGCAUUUGGGUGUGAAAAUGUGUAGAAGGCGUAGGAGCCAAGACCUUCCAUGGCAAGAAUGGUAAAUUACAAAGAAAAAUGAUUGCUGGGAAUGACCAUUAAACUCAUCAUAGUUUCUUGAAAUGGGUUUUAGUCAACACUCCAUAUAAUGGGAUCCUAAGUUUAGACCCCUGCCCACAAUCCAAUCCAUAACAAUAAUCAGAGGUAGAAUUAUAAUCCCACAUUUGUAAUGGUUUAUUCUGUAUGGGUUUAGGGUUUAGGGUUUUAGCAUGGUUUAUUUCCCAUUUAUUGAUUAAAGACAUGAUACAAACAUGGAGGUCGGGAAGAAUGAGAGAGUGGCGUUGAAGGGUGGCUGCUACUGUCCAUUGUCCAUCUUUAUUUUGUGUAGCUAACUAAAACAGAACAUGUGCCAACAGUCGCAGUGUGUACUGAUGGGUCUGCCAUUUCACACUACCCACAUAGCUUAUAACCUCUGAAAGAAAGAUCAAGAAAACAACAGGCUUAUUUCCUAUGUUUUCUCUCAUUAUUUCUGUGGACCACUGUAGAACAAGUUCCAUCCUAACGAAUAGAACUUUAACCUCUCUAUAAGCAUCUAGAUUCGGGUUUGGAUUGAACAAGAAGAUUACACCAAGCCAAGAAUGGCCACAGGGAUUUUCAGGGUACAGGGUAAGGCCUGCAUAUGUUGAACCAAAGACUAGAUCAACAGCCUGAUUUUAUCUUAACCCAAUCGGUUUUAGACAGUCCAGAAUGGAAUGUUAAAAGCAGUAAGCUGCAUUCCUAUUGUGCCAAAGAUGAUCCACUACCUCUUGCAACAGUAACCGAAAAUAGAAAAAGAGGAAAAGAAAAAGGCCAUAUAUUUAUUCAGCUGCUAAAAGAGCGAACCUCUGAUACAACAAUCCA